AUUAUAUAACUAGUAUCUGUAUGCUAUAGUCAACACUGAAACUGAAUUACUUAGUUGAUUACUAGACUGAGACUGUGGGAGCUAUCAUCUAACUGAUAUUUCCUAAUGAGGAAUUUGGGGCCCAACCUGUGACCCCAGUUGAAGGAUGUCAGUACCGUACCACGGGUACUAACACUGGAUAUAUGGAUCCAAUGAAAAAGCUAUCCCAAAGGACUAAAGGUGUUAAGCCUAAACUGACGGGUGACCCCUGGAAGGUAGUCAAGCCUGAACUAACGUGUGACUUCUCAAAUCCUACUCUAGCUACGCAGUACUAUAGUACAGGGAAUGGUACUAACGAAUCUGCCUAACUGAUAGGGAAGUCACAUCACAACACUCGCUCAAUGCUAAAUCCUACUACCAACUGAACUACCUCAGAAUACUGAACUAUUCUAAGUUUAACUGAUCAUGAUAACUGACUAAACUGAUAUUGCUCAUAACAUGUCUAAAACUAAUUUGGAGAUACUGAGGAUAAGUAAGCAAUUAAUUUUAUGGGAAUUCAUAACCCCUAGGACUCGAUAGUAAUUAUAGAAAAAUAGUACUAAAAUUUUGGGGACAUAAUAUGAAAGCAUUUAUUCAAAAUUCAUUCUUGUAGGCAUUUUAUCAAACACUUGAUAUGUAUAGUGUAAGCUAAACGUGGGAAUCAUUUAAAGCUUGUAGUAAUAACAUGAUUUAAACAUCAACAUCACUAAUUAUGGGUUAAAUCAGCAAAUAACAUCAUUUAUAUGUGUGGGGGUAGAUAACAACAAUAAUUUCAUGUAAACAUGGUAUAAAGUUUCAAUUCAUGGGAAUUCAUGGUUAAAAUCACAACUAAAAAUCAAUUGUGAAAAUCACAAUUACUUGUAAAGAUCACAACUUUGAAUUUAAAAUUUGAUAUGUGGACUCCAUGGGUGAAAGGGACCCAUGGAUGAACAUUUAACAUACCUUGAUUUAUGAAUUUAUGAGAAUUGAUGGCGAAUUCUUGAGAUUUGAUCUUGAAUCUUAAAGGGCUAGGGAUUUUUCUUGAAAGAGGGCUACUUUAAUUUGAGAGGAUUGUGGAAUAAUGAUAAAAUAAUGCUCUCUUGGGAGUUACAUUCCACGUUUUGAUUGAAUGGGGUGAAGAUAAAAGGACUUAAAUGCCCUUGGAAAUUAAAACUCAAAACAGGAACUAAAAAUCUCAAUUUUGACAUUCAGCGCGAUGGGGUGCAAUCAUGUUGUGCCAUUGGAAAACUGACAAUCCCUAUUUUACCCUACGACGUGAUGGAGUACUAUCGUGUUGCGCCACUGGAAUGGACAAUCCCGAUUUGGAACCUUGGUGCGUGCAGUGGCAAUCGUGGUACCUCACUGGAAAGUGGGGAACGCAAAAAUACCCCUUGGUGUGAUGCAGUGCUUACCGUUGCGGUCCACUAGAAAAGGCCAAACGUGAUUUUUGUCAUCACCGCGAUGUGGCCUUAUCGCAUUGGGCUACUAUUUUUCACUAAAAGUUCCAUAACUUCUCACUCGAGUAUCAGAUUUAGGUAAAAUUGGUAUAGUUGGAAAGCUAAUUAAAUUUCAUACAAUUAGUUGAGUUUUGAGCUGGAAAAUUCUCAAUAGAAUAAAAGAUAAGCUUGUUUUAUAUUUACUAAAGCAACAUUCUUCUCAAAAACUCAAUCGGUAAGGAAUAUUUUGGUUCGUCUAAUAGCUGGGAGUUAUUUGAGUCCUUAAUAUACAUCCAACUCACUCAUAAAACUACCAAAGAACUAUAAUGUACUUUGCAUGAGCUUGAAAUAUGGCUCUAACAUAGGUUUGGAUUUUUGGGCUAUUACAACAAAGUACUAAACGCACCAUCACAUUAUAAAUAUCUAUAUAUGAUCACUAUUAUAGAAGUGGAUGAGCAUGGGGUGGAGGAGGGUAAACCUAAUAUUGACUAUUUAUACUCUCUCUCAUAGACUUGGCUAAAUUGAUAAAUAAGCCUAUACUUUAAAAACAUGAAAGAAAUCCUGAAAAAGUGAGUGUAAGAAAAAAUGCAAUCCUUAAGAUUAAGAACUCAAAAGGCUAGAAAAUAAGGAGAAGGUGGGAUCUAACAAGGAGUAAAAUGAUAAUAAAAUAUGGAUAAUAAUUGUAAUUUGAGUCAUUCAGCGACAAUAAAUCAAGCGCCUCUAGUGAGCUAACCCAAGUUAAGGUAUGUAAUAACCCUUUUGGUUAUUUUUUAUAUUUCUGCUUCUCUUCAACAUUAGGGAUUCUCCAUAGAUUCCCCAAGUCAUUUAUGACUUACUGGGACUAACAGUUUGAUUAUUGGGCAAUUCAUUGGGUAUUUAGAGCCAAUUCCUUGUUUAGAAGUCUUCACUGGUUCCAAAUAGCCACCGGGAAAUUUUUUUAGUAAAAUGAUCAUUCCAACUAUGCCAGAAUCUUUGGAAUUUGAUUUUAGGAUAGGUGUACCUUUGGUUUGGGUCCCAAUGCACCCAAGAUCAUUUCAACCUAUUAGUCUAAAAGUUGGAAAAUUGGAAAUAUGGGUGUGGAACCCAUAUUUGGUCAAAAUUACCUCAGAUAAAUUUAAAUUUUUUGUUGUAUCUAAAUAUAGAAUUUAGUGUUCUAACAUAUUUCAUUUGUGAAAAUUAGAUUCUGAAUGAAUCCUAGUUCAUUGUUGGAAACUUGGAAAAUUUUUAAAGUUUGUUGGUGUUGGUGCAUUCCGAUCACACAAGGGCCACUGUAAUCGCUCUAUGGUGAUCUCACAAGGGAUAUGGAAAUCUCCCUAUUGUGAUAAAAAAACCCUAGAUGGAAAUAGCAACAUCUCCAUACCUGGUAUGGAUAUAUAAUGACUCUGUAGGCCGCAUUUACGUCAAUUUUCUUCAUCUUUAAGACCUAAAAACCCUAAAAGAGUGUGGUAACUCAAAAAUAAGUCUUAUGUAUGACUUGGGAUCUUUCUAAACAUCUAUUAUAAUUAUUAUAAUAUGAAUUAAAAUAAUAUUUCAUCACUUUCUUAGUGAUUUUCUUGGUUCUUGACCCAAAACCAUGACUAGCUUGAGGUCUUGAUUAUAGCCCCAAAUGAACUUUAUUUUUAACCCAUUCUUAAGGGUUACGAUUUCUUGAUGAUGUAUGAAUACUGGGUUGACUUUGAAAAUGUAUUUUCCAUAAGUGGGACUCACUUGGGGUUUUCGAUGUUGUUUUGGGACCUAAAGCUCAAUGGUGGAACAUGGGUAUCAUUAUUCUCGUAUUUAUGAGUAGAUUAUAAUUUUGAUAGUGUGAUGACAUUUUGAUAUUGUGAAGUAAAGAUGGAUCUUUGGUGAAUUAUGUAAGAACUUAUGGUUUGGAAUUAAGGUAGGCUUCUGUCUAUUCUUCUUUGUAAGAUGAUGUGUGAUAUAUAUUGAUUGUGAAUAUGAAUGUUAAGAUUGAUUAUGUGUGGAAUGCCUCAUACUUAAUUAUUGAAGUUGGGAAAUUAGAUGAGAUUCUUGGACCUGUAAGGUGAAUUCCUUAUUACACUUUUAGAAUCCUAUUUCCUUCUCCCUAGAUUAAACUAGUUCAUAGAAUGGGUAUGACAUGGUGCUAGGUUUAGGAUGUGUUUUAAGUGUUAGAAUCAUGGUUAGUAUGAUUAACCUUAUUUAGGCUAGUCUAUUGAUAUUGAAACCAUAAUUUGGAGUCAAGUUAACUUAAAUGCCCAUGUUUUUAGAAGAAGUUCCUAUCUUAGGAUUGUUAUUGAGUACUUGACAUCUAGAAGUUGAACUAGAUACCUUAGCCAAGUUUGGGCCGUAGAUUGCUUAAAUAUGGAAAUGAAGGAUUAGAAAUGGGAUCAUCCGACCCAGUUAGGUUAAAACUUUUGUUAGACCUUGUGGACUAAGUUGUGGAUGCUAGUCAUAGUUGAGACUAUUGAACCCUUAGAAUAAGUUUACUUCAUGACUUGGUAAAUUGUGAUGACUUACCUCGGACUAUGACUAAUGGCUUAUGGCCAUGAUAUUGGGUCUUUAGAGAUGCUAUUUCCUCUUAGACAUGAUAUUGGUCAUUUAGAGAUGCUAUUUUCUCUUAGACAUGAUAUUGGGCUUUAAGAGAUGCUAUUUCCUCUUAGAUAUGAUAUUUGGAAUUUAGUAAUUCUAUUUCCUUAUAGAGAUGAUAUUGGCCUUUAGAGUUGCUAUUUUCUCUUAGAUGUAAUAUUGGGCCUUUAGUGAUGCUAUUUCCUUAUAGAGAUGGUGUUGGGCCUUUAGAGCUGCUAUUUUCUCUUCAAUAUGAUUUUGGGCCUUUAGAGAUGUGCUUUUCUCUUAGAUAAGGUAUUAGGCCUUUUGAGGUGUUAUUUGUUCUAGUUAUGUGUAAUACCCUAAAGUUUCCUAACUAAUUUUGUCUCAAAAAUGUCAAGUAUUAGCUUCUAAAUUGAAUGAUGUUUAUUCCAUGGGGAAUUUUCAAGAAUCACUUUUUGUCAUGUGGAAAAUUCAAUAAGCUUUCCAUCGAUAUAAAAUUCACCUAAAUCUGAAACCGGGUAAGAAGUUAUGACUAUUUCAAGUCCACAUCAUAAAACAACACCAUAUUGGUCAGUGGCGCGCCGCGCCACAAGAUAAAAUGGCAAUUGUCCUUUUUUUCGUGUCCCAGCACAAUUUCUCCAUGUUGUACCAAACUUUUAGUUCACAAAUGAAUUGGCAAUGCGAUGGCUCCGUGUCACACCAUUUCCCUAUUUCCCAAUUGUCAAAUUCCAGUGGCACAGCGAGAUAGCACCGCAUCGCGCUAGGGGUCCAGGUCAGAAAAUUUUCACCAACUUAAAAGAUGCAUCCAGGGUUAAAAGGAUCAAUUUUUCACUCCUAUUUAAGCCCUUUAACAUGGGAUUCAGCUAUUUGGAACCUAAAAUAUAGUAGUUUCUCUCAAUUUUCUCUUGAGAACAAGCGAGGGUUUCGAUUGGGGAUUCAAUUUCAGAAAGUCUCUCUGUCAAUCUUUGCUAAAUCAAGAACUAAGGUAUGUCAUAUGUUGAUUCAUGGGUUUCUUUCACCUAUGAAGCUCAAUAAUCUCUUUUCAAAAUGAAAGAUUUGUAUAUUUACGAAUGUUCAUGAUUUGAUUAUAUUAAAAAGUGAUGUUCAUGUUGUUUUUUGUUUCAUUCCAUGUUAUAGACUAUUAAUUACAAAAAUUAAUUCUAGUAUGUGAGGAAUUAUGCGGUAUUCAUGAUAAAUCCUAGAAUUCACAAGUUGAUUGAUGUAUCCUUGAUUAUUAGAUGUGUUGAUGAUUGUAUAACCAUAGUAUGCUCCCCACCCCCACAUGUCUUAGCCAAUGGAUUAUGUAUUGUUGAUGUUGGUCCUGUACUCAAGAAAGUCAUGCUUUGUCAGUUUCCUUCUAUCGAGUCCUGGGGGUACUUGUACCUAAAAAAUAUAGUUGUGUGCCUAGAGUCCGUGUCAUGUUUUCAUGAUAUCCUCAGUCAAGCCAUGAUCCAUAGAAUUCAGUUAGUUAUGUGACUCAGGAAAGCUCAGUAAUACAGUAAUCUCAGUACUAUUCCGUCAGUCAACAGAACUCAGUUAAAUCAGUUUAGUUCAGUUUAGUAAUUCAUGAUCAGUGUCUAUUGAAAUAGGAGUAGGAAUUAACACCGAGUGAGCCCAAUGAUGGGAACACACAUUGUCAAAUAAGAGUGUGAUUCUUAGAAGUCAUCCUUGCAUUUCAGAACUAUGUAGCCAGCAUAGGUUGAGACAUCAACACUAUCAGAUGAGGGUUUAUAAGGUGGAUAAGCACUGUCAGAUGAGAUCCCUACCGUUCUCUUUUGGGGACACUGUCAGAUGAGGGUCACUCACAGCUUGUCCUUACCAGUGGUGCGGUAUUAACACCCUUCCAAUUGGGGUUACAGAUUGGACCCCAACUCAGCCAUAAUGGCGUAUUAGGGGCAUAUUAGUUAGAUAACUACUUUCCAUAGUUUCAGCUAGAGAAUCAGGACUGUUAAAUACAGUCAUUUAGUCUCAGUAAUAGAACUCAGAUAGUUCUAUCGAAUUCAGGACUGUUAGAUAUAGUCAACUCAGAACAAUAUAGAACUCAACUAGUUCCAUUAGAUUCAGGACUGUCAGAUACAGUCACUUAUGUCAUCAGUUAUAUCAGUCAGUUAUCAGUUAUGUUAGUUAUCAGUAAAUUCAUGUUAUCACUAUCUCAGAUAUAGUUACAAUGUAUUCAUACAUGUAUUCUCACGUUCGUAUUAGUCAGUUAGACACUAUUGUUCAUGCAUAUGAACCCCAUGUAUUCAGCCUACCUUCCAUUUUUACCAGUACAUACAAAGUAUUGACACAUUUGUGCUAUGGUGUUUUAUACCAUAGGUUCAGAAGCAUGAUCACCAGAGCAUCAGUAGUAUUCUAGUUUCAGCAGUCAGAGUUAGUAGUAAGUCCUAGUCCUUCGAGGACAUAACCAUUUCAUUAAUAUCUCAUUAAAUUAAUUUAUUUCACUAGUUAGGGUUAGUUGGGGACAUGUCCCAUCAACUCUUUAUUCAGAUAGUUAGUCAAUUAGAGGUUUUUUAGAUUAUCACAUUCAGACGGUUAUUUUAGUAUUUUGGGUAUUUCAUACCCUAUCCAUAUGUUAGGAUUUAUUAGUUAUGUUAUAAUUUUGAACCCUAUGGCCUUUCAGUUUAUUUUUCCAUAUUUAUACAGUAUAUCAUGUAGUAUACAAGUACAGAUAUCAUUCAUGAGUUAGCUUGUGGUCCUUCUGGGUCAUGAGCACCGUGUAGCAUUCCGGGUACCAGGAUUUGGGGCAUUACAAACUUGGUAUCAGAUCCAGGUUCAAUAAUGUCCUAGGAAGUAUGAAAGUCGCAUCUAGUAGAGCCUUGUACAUGGGUGUAUUGUGUGCCACAUUUAUGUACAGGAGGCUAUAAGAUGUUUUAGGAACAAUUUUCCUUUCUUUCAGUAUUCAUUUCAUGCCAGUGAGCAUAAUCUCAAGUCAAUCUCUCAGUGUAAUUUGUUUCUUUUUUUUUUCUACAGAAUAUGCCUCCUAAAAGAAGAAAUGAAAAUCAAUCAGCCCCUUAGCCCGAAGAACCUUUGGGCGAACAUAUUUCUCAUGGAGAGUUUCAAGUUGUAUUCACUACUCUUGCUAAUUUAGUUGCUGCUUAGAAUAAAUGAUCAGCCAUCGUUUUGGUCAACCCAGUGACCAAUUCAGCUGCAGCCAAGAUUCAGGACUUCAUCCAAAUGAAUCCUCCAUCCUUUCUCAGGUUUAAGUUAAAAGAGGACCCUCAGAAAUUCAUCGAUCAGGUUCAGAAGGUUAUAGAAAUCAUGGGGGUUACUCCUGUCGAGAGUGUUGAGCUAGUUGCAUACCAGUUGCAGGAUAUUGCCCAUACUUGGUUUAAACAGUAGAAUUCAAAAAGGUCGGAUGAUUCAAGGCCUAUUGAGUGGGAGGAGUUUGUCACUGCAUUCUUAUAUAGAUUCGUUCCCCAAAAGAUGAGAGAGGCUAAGAUGUUAGAAAUCAUCAACCUCAGGCAGGGUAACAUAACUAUGCAAGAGUAUUCUCUUAAGUUUACUCAAUUAUCCAUAUAUGCUCCUCAUAUGGUUGCAGAUAGCAGGGCCAAGAGUAAGUUUUUUUUUGGGGUGAACAAUAGUGUGGUCAACAAGUGUAGGUCUGCAAUGUUGAAUAGUGACAUGACUUUAGCCAGGCUUAUGACUCAUGCUCAGCAGAUAGAAGAUCAAAAGGUUAAGAUGAGGGAGAAACAUAAUAAGAGAGUAAAGACAGGUAGUUUCAACUUUACUUAGUCCAAAUUAGAAGGAGCAAACCGCUCUCAGUUCCAUCCUAAGUCAUCAGUUCCAGCUCCUUCUUUAGCCAGUGCUCCAUCUCCUAAGUUCAGGGAUAAAAAUGGAGAUAGGGUGCCAGGAUCUAAGUCUUAGGGCAGUGUGAGCAGUGCUUGAACUAAUACUAUUUGUCAGACUUGUGGUAAGAAACAUAAGGGUGCUUGUAUUGCUGGUAGAUAUGUCUAUUUCGGAUGUGGAAAGCCAGGCCACAGAGUCAGAGAUUGUCCCAGUCAGGUUAUCAGGGUCAGCAAAACCAUUCCUAUGCUCAGUUCAGUCACCUAAAUCAGCAGGGUACCACUUCCAGUUCUACUAGUGGGCAACGCCCAAAUAGACUUUAUGAUCUCCAGUCCCGGCAAGAUCAGGAAAAUUAUCCUGAUGUGGUUACUGGUACGUUAUAGAUCUUUCAUGUGCAUAUUUAUUCUUUGCUAGAUCCAGGAGCUUUCUUGUCUUUUGUCACUCCCUAUAUAGUAGUUGAUUUCAUAAUCAGUCCCAAAUUCUAGCAGAGCUUUUUUCACUCUCUACCCCAGUGGGUAAAACCAUCAUAUCUCGGUGGGUAUACAGAAAUUGCCUGCUUAUGAUAUUAGAGAAUGUCACCUCAGCAGACUUAGUCAAAUUAUAGAUGACUAAUUUUGAUGUUAUUCUUGGCAUGGAUUGGCUUUAUUCCUGCUAUGCCACAGUCGACUAUAGAAAUAGAAGAGUCCAAUUUUAGUUUUCAAAUGAACCCAUCCUAGAGAGGAGGGGUAGUAUUUUAGCUUUCAGAGGUCAGAUUGUUUCCUACCUUUGGGCACAGAUAAUUAUUUCUAAAGGAUGUGUUUAUAUUCUUGUUCGAGUUAAGUAUGCUAGUUUUGAGACUCCUAGUCUUGAAUCAUUCCCAUUAGUGAAUGAAUAUUUAGAUGUCUUACCCGAAGAUCUUCCAGGAAUUCCUCCCAAAAGGGAAAUAGACUUCCGCAUUAAUCUUCUUCCAAAUACUCAGCCUAUAUCGAUUCCGCCAUACAAAAUGGCACCUAUAGAACUUGGAGAAUUAAAAGAACAUUUGAAGGAUCUCUUAGAUGACAGAUUCAUCAGUUCCAGUGUGUCCCCAUGGGGUGCACCAGUCUUAUUCGUGUGAAAGAAAGAUAGUUCUCUCAGAAUGUGUAUAGAUUACCAUCAACUCAAUAAAGUCAUGGUCAAGAACAAGUAUCCACUUCCAAGAAUCAAUGACUUGUUUGACCAACUUCAGGGUGUCAUUUAUUUCUCUAAGAUAGACCUCAGAUUCGGCUAUCAUCAUCUCAGAGUAAGAGAAUGUGACAUUCUAAAAACAGCCUUCCAUACACGGUAUGGUCACUUCCAAUUCCUAGUCAUGUCCUUUGGUCUUACCAAUGCCCCAGUAGCUUUCAUGGACUUGAUGAGCCGUUUGUUCAAGUAGUACUUGGAAAUGUUCGUCAUAGUCUUUAUAGAUGAUAUUCUAGUCUAUUCCUGCAGUGAGCCUGAUCAUACAGACCAUCUCAGAAUUGUACUUCAAACUCUCAAAAAUCAUCAGUUGUUUGCCAAAUUUAGUAAGUGCAAAUUUUGGCUAAGGUCAGUAGCAUUCCUUAGCCAUAUCAUUUCCAGUGAUGGCAUUAGAGUAGAUCACCAAAAGACCAAAGUGGUAAGAAACUAGCCCAGACCUGUAUCUCCAUCAGACAUACGAAAAUUCUUGGGUUUGGCUGGUUAUUAUAGAUGGUUUGUUGAAGUAUUUUCAUUUAUUUCAUCCCCUAUGUCAAAAUUGACUCAGAAGAAAGUCAAGUUGUAGUGGUUGAAUCCUUGCGAGAAGAGCUUUCAGGAGUUGAAGACUCGACUCACCUCAGCCCCAGUCUUAGCUCUUCCAGAUGGUCCAGAUGGGUUAAUAGUGUACUAUGAUGCAUCCAGACUAGGUUUGGGUUGUGUCCUUAUGUAGCAUGGUAAGGUCAUAGCCUACGCCUCAAGACAGCUUAAACCCUAUAAGAAGAAUUAUCCUACUUAUGAUCUUGAUUUAGCAGCCGUGGCUUUUGCCUUAAAGAUUUGGAUACAUUACUUGUACGAAGUUCAUAUAGAUGUGUUCACCGAUCAUAAGAGCCUUCAGUAUGUCUUUUCUCAUAAAGAUCUCAAUCUUUAUUAGAGAAGGUGGUUAGAGCUCUUGAAAGAUUAUGACAUGAGUGUCCUUUAUCAUUCGAGAAAGGCCAAUAUCGUGGUUGACGCUCUCAAUAGACUGUCUAUAGGUAGUGUUACUCAUGUUGAGGACAGUAAAAAGUUAGCUCAAGAAGUCUAUCAGUUUGCCAAACUAGGCGUUCUCUUAGUCGAUUCAGAGAAGGGUGACUUAUGGGUUCAGAGUAGUCUAGAAUCAUCUCUAGUUUCUGAGGUAAAAGAAAAGCAAGAUAGAGACCCCAGUUUAGUCAAGUUGAAAGAGUUAGUUAAGGACCAGAAAGUAGAGAUUUUCUCCCAAGGGGGAGAUAGGGUAUUGCAUUUUUAGGGUCGUCUCUGUGUUCAAGGUUUAGAUGACUUAAGGAAGCAAAUUCUUACGAAAACGCAUGGUGUUCGCUACUCUAUUUAUCCAGGGGGCACAAAGAUAUACUGCAAUUUGCGGGAGAUCUAUUGGUGGAGUGAGAUGAAGAGAGAUGUUGCAGAGUUUGUGGCUAAGUGUUCUAUAUGUCAACAGGUUAAGAUAAAGUAUCAAAAGCCUAUUGGGUCCAUACAGGAGCUCAAUAUUCCUACUUGGAUGUGGGAAGAGGUAAACAUGGACUUUGUGAUGGGUUUACCUCGUACUCGUCGCCAGCAUGAUUUAGUUUGGAUCAUUGUAGACAGAAUAACCAAAUCAGCCCAUUUUCUUCCAGUUCAUACCUUUUAUUCAGGCGAGGAUUACGCCAAUCUCUACAUUAGGGAUUUGGUCAGAUUACACGAUAUUCCAUUAUCCAUUAUUUCAGACAGAGGUACCUAGAAGAUACAUGGUCAAGAAGAAAGGACCAUUCAGACCCUAGAAAAUAUAAUAAGGGCAUGUUCAAUUAAUUUCAAGGGUAGUUGGGAUGACCACUUGCCUUUGAUUGAGUUUGCAUACCAUAAUAGCUAUCAUUCUAGUAUUCGGAUGGAUCCAUUCUAUGAUCUCUAAAGAAGGAGAUUCAGAUAUCUUGUUGGUUGGUUCAAAGUUAGUGAGGCCUUGGUGAUAGGACCUGACUUUGUAUUAGAUGCCUUAGAGAAAGUCCAGCUGAUCAGACAAAACUCUGGGCUGCUCAGAGCCGAUAGAAGUCUUAUACAGAUAUACGUAGAAAAGAUCUUAAGUUCAAGGUUGGUGACUAUGUCUAUCUAAAGAUCUCUCCCAUGAAGGGAGUAAAGAGGUUCGGCAAGAAAGGAAAAAUCAGUCCCCGAUAUUUUAGUCCCUUCAAAAUUCUCAGUCGCUUUGGCAAGGUAGCUUAUGAGCUCAAAUUGCCUUCUGAUCUAGCCUCAGUUCAUCCAGUAUUCCAUGUCUCUUUUCUCAAGAAGUGUAUAGGUGACCCAGCAGUUGUAGUCCCUAUUCAGAGCAUAGAUGUUCAGAACAACCUCUCUUAUGAAGAGAUUCCAGUUGAAAUUCUAUACUACCAUACUCGUACACUGAGAAGCAAAGAAGUCCAUCUAGUCAAAGUUCUUUGGUAGAAUCAUUCCGAUGAGAGAGCUACUUGGGAAGCAGAAGCAGACAUGCAUACCAAGUACCCUCACCUCUUCUCUGUUGACUCAGAUCAAGCUUAAGGUAAUAGUUCUCCUUAUGUUUUUUAGUUUUCAUGUCUAGAUUUCAGUUACAACUUGGUAUCAGCCUCAUGUUCAGGAUUUCAUUUUUAAACUUAGUACUAAGUACCAUUGCAUAUCCAAUUAUAUGUUCAUGCAUCAGAUUAGUCAUGUGUUCAUGCAUCAAACAUGCAUUCUCUUUGUGAGAAGACUCAGUUAUUAGAAAUCUCAGUCAUGUAAUCAGUUUCGUCAUGUAUUCAUGCAUCAGAUAUGUGUGAUCAGCUUAUCAGUACUCUCAGUCAUGCAAUCAUGUAUCAGCUCAUUCAUGAAAUCAUGCAUCAGAUAUGCAUGCUCUAUAUAAAUCUCAGAAAUGUCAGUUAUGUAGUCCUAUUUCAGUGUUUAUGUUCAGUAUGUACUUCGGUUUAUCGUUUCUCCCCUCUCAGUCAGUCUCAUUCGAGGACGAAUGUUUCCAAGGGGGAGAUAUUGUAAUACCCCAAAGUUUCCUAACUAAGUUUUUCUCAAAAAUGUCAAGUAUUAGCUUCUAAAUUGAAUGAUGUUUAUUACAUGGUGCAUUUUUAAGAUUUUCACUUUUGUCAUGUGGUAAAUUCAAUACCAAUUUCAUCCAAAUCCGGUAUCGGGGUGAGAAGUUAUGGCCAUUUUACUAAGAGUUGUCGGAACCGCCCAGGUGCGACGGACAGGUUGACGGACCGUUGAGUUUGCGACGAACCGUAGCCCAGACCAUCAUAACCAAGGCAGUGACUCCCUCUUCUAGACCAAGUGCGACAGCCAAGACAACGGACCGUCAAGCUAGCGAUGGACCAUCACUAGGACCAUCGCAACUAAGGCAGUGUGGCCUUUUUCUGAUUAAUGUGCAAUGGACAAUCCAAUGGACCAUCAGACUAGCGAUGGACGAUCCGACGGACCAUUAGACUAGCGACGGACCGUUACUCCGACCGUCGCAAAUCUCGUUCAUUAUUUUUAAGUCAUUUUUAAUAGGAUCUUUUGGGUCUUUUCCCUUUUAAUACCCUGAUAUAUCCAAAAUGAAGCAGAUAGCCUCAUUAUCUCCCAAAACAUCCAAGAUCUAGGGUUUCUCCUUCAAGAGAAAAUCCAAAACCCUUCUCCAAGAAAUUCAAGAACUCACCAUAUAUUCUACAAAUUGAGUUGAGAUUCGAGUUUUGGUAGCCCAAGGCUUCAAGAACCCUCUCUUAAAGAGUAAGAAGAAGAGUUUCAAGCAAGAUUGUUCACCUAGUUUCACAAUCUAAGGUAUGUGGGGUUUCAAUGAGAACAAUCCUUUCGUCCUUGUUCCCAAAACUUGUUUUAAAUUACAAAGAUAUAUGACUUUAUGAGUUGUCCUAUGAAUUUGAAGUGUGGGUUCAUACCCAAUAUUACUAUGCAUGAGAUUUUGAGAUUUGCCAAUGUUCUAGAAAUUGAAGUACAUGAGUAUAUUGAGAUUUUAAGACAAAUUGCUGAACAUUCCAGAUUUCUAUAUGAUUUGUGUAUCCUUAUGUCGGUUAAGAGAACCUCCUUUGAGAUAAGAUAUCUCCCUUGAGAUAGAAUAUUUUCCCUAAAGCUUUGAGAUAAGUUACUUUUCCUAAUAGUAAGAUUUUCAAAAAUAGUUUCUUAAAGUAAAAUUUUCCCAAGAAGAAAGUAGUUUUCUCUACUAGUAAGAGUUAGAGAAUUCUGAGUUCCAAGUGUCUUGAAUUUAAAAGAGUUCUAAGUUCUUGAGCAUUAAAGAAGUUUUACUCUCCAUGAGAUAUAUGCAUGAGUUUGAAAGUAUUGUUUAAAGCUUUCUUUAGUCUUUCAGAUUUUAAAGAUAAAGUAUAAUGACUCACGAGAUUUGUGUUACAUGCUUCAAUCUACAUGAUUUUUGAGCUUUAUAUUGUAGACGUAUUCAAGCUAUGUGAGGCAUUCAUAUUUGCAUGCAUGAUUUGAUUAAAGAGUAUGGAUAUUGUUUUCUGUAAAUACAUACACCCUCAUAUACUUAGUACAUUCCCAAGUGUUGAUCCACAUAUAUGUCUAUGUGAUACGUUGUCUUAUAAUGUAGGUUCAGGUGCUCAGUCCCAGCCUCAUCAGUGAUUUUCGAGUACCUUUGUCUACAUUCUACAGUCGUGAGUCCUCAUAGUUCGAGAACCUAUCUUCAAACAUUUCAGUAUUGUUAGUAGACAUAUUAUUGCUUUCAGUUCAGUUGAGUCAAUUGGGGACCUGUCCCAAUGGCUGUCUAGUAGACUUGAGUAGUAGAGACAUUGUCAGACUAGUUAUCAGAUUGUUAGUAUCCUGAGAUUUCCAGUUUUGUGGUCGUUUGGACCGAGUAUUUUCUUCGUAUUUCCUACCAUUUGAUAUGACAGUACCAGUGCUUUGUUUAUUUCAUCUCGAAAUGAGUUAUUAUAUGUAGUGACAGGCUCAAAGGGUUAGCUUAGGGCUACUUUUAGACUUAAGCACUGUGUGACGUCCUGGAAGGAGAUUUCGGGUCGUUACACAAUGUCUCUUAAGUGACACAAUAUCGCAUACGCGAUGGACACUUAAGGGAACAUAUGAUUGCUUAAGAGAUUGCAUCAACAACCUGAUGCACCAGAUUUUUCUAAAUCUGAAAUGAACUUUAAUUGGGUGCUCAAGUUUUAUUUGGAACCCCAUGCGCGCAAAUAAAAUAUGAUACCAUACCAAAUUCUACCUUCUAAACUCAAUGGAGCUAUCCAAACUUUCUUUUGAGAUCAUUUCAACUAAAGGUGGGGCCCACACCUAUAGUUUUAUUUUUCACAAGAUCUGCCCAAUAGUUCAAAAUGAGUCCAGAAGCCUCAGAACGUAAAACAAGGGUCCCCAAGCCUAAAAUCAACGUUUUGGAGUUGAUGGCAUUGUCAAAAUUCUUAGCAGAGGUCAUUUUUUAGGAUUUUUUGUCUGAGACCAAAUCCUAAACAACGAAAGCUCUAAAAUAGGGAAAUAAGUUUAAAAUCCAAAUGAAGUGUCCGAUAAUCAAAUUGACAGUUUCGGCUUGUCAUAAAUAACCAGUAACCACUAUGGGAAAUCCUGAAACAUAAAUGCACAUAAAUUAAGGAAAUGAUCUGGAGGGUUAUUAUAAUAUCCACUACUAAAAGGACUUUUGUCCGCUAAAGUCAAUGGAUAAAAAAGUCAUGAACGCUCAAAGGGAUGAGGUACUGGGCCAGCAUGCUCAAACACAACUCCCUAGAUAACCUCCAAGAAGAGACAACAUUUUCUAAGGAAUUUUGUGUAGGUAUCCCUUUUUCAACCAACUUCCUUUCUUCCCCUCUCAAACAACCAAAAAUCCACCUCAACCACCAACUGGUUUCCAACUGAACCAAGGAAGGCCAAUGCAUAAAUCUAAACCAUGACACACUGAUACCAUAUUGAUACCAAUAUAAUUAAAUAAAAACUCAUCCAAACCAAUGGCAAGUCAAGGCAUGAACAAUGAAACUAAUUCAAAAUCUAAAUCCUUCUUUUUUUUUCCAAACCAACUACCCACUCCAAACCAAGCAGAAAAUCACCCGAGUCCUGUCCGCGCAACUCUAUCAUACUAACCUUGAAGAACUGAUAUUGAUCCAUCAAAUAUUCAUAGUAUAAAUCAUAAAAAUAAACCAUAAGGUGCUACCUCAUCACACAAAUAGAGAUGACCAAAGUCAGUAAUCUAUUGCCAAUGCUAUAACUAGUACAGAUGACCAUGGAAACUAGAAGCCAAGAGUCUGAAGCACACACACUUAGAAUGGAAUAAUCCACUCUAGGAUUUCCGGAAUAAUCCACUCUAGGAUUUCCCAUCAAUCCGGGAUGAAUCCCUGCUAAAUCAACUCAUGCAUACUACUACAGCUAAGCAAAUCAUCCAAAAAUCCCAAUGAUAAUUGGAACCCGAGGUCAGAGAUAAAGGAAUCAAUAUCGGUGCUAAUCGAACUACCACCUAAACAUCUAUCAACCACAAUACAUCAAAAUCAAAGAAGGCCAAAUAGGUAGACAUAGAGUAGGCUUAGUCAUCCUAUAGAGGAAAUACCAAUUGAGGAAAAUCUGGAAACGACGGUUGUACCCAAGCUCUACAAUUCCAAACUAAAUUCUCAACACCAAGGCUCAACCGCUCGAUCUCAACUACCAAAACCAAACCUAAAGAUGGGUACGUAUCCAUACUCUAAGUCUAUCAUAACCUCUAUGCCGCCAUUCCAAGGUAUUAAAUUUGAAAUUGAAUCAACAAGUCUAAACUAAGGCCAAAUACCUAAAACAACCUUACUAUCAAAAUCAGACAUAUCCUUAUUAAAUUAUGUCAGAGACAACACUAAAUAUAGUUGAAGAACAAAAUCACAACAUAGGAUAAACCACCAACUUCAAACACAAGAAACCAUCUUUAUAUCCACUUAAGGGCACAGACUACCAAAGCAUAGUUAAGAAUGCACCAAGGCUACAAAAUGCACUAGAGAUAACCAAAACUCUAGCAACAUAUAUAAAUGGCACUUUAGCUAGAAACUAAUCAAUUUAGUACUCCAUCUCAGCAAAAGAUACCUAUAGGCACAUAUUCCCAAGGAGAAGUGUUCCACCAAGUCUUAUUAGGCCCAACAAAUUAUGAAAUAAGGAAUUCCUAAAUCCAACUAAGUAGGAAAACCUUAACCCAAUCAAUCCAUGGAUCACAUCACUAAAGAAGAGAGUACCAAUAUUGACACCAAUGCCAAGGUCAAUACUACUACCAAAAAAUAAACUAAGCAAAUUAUGAUAACAAAUUCCCAAUUUUCCAACUUAAAAAGCAAUCAUAGGAAUGAUCACUUAUGUUCAACUCUCUAACUCUACUUUGAGUAUGCACCCAUCAUAGAAAGAACAAAGUAUCAAACUCCACACCAUUACUAAAAUCAAACCAUCACCAGGAGAUAAACCCAACAACCCUGCAAAAGAAAUCCAAGACUUCUCGACAUCAAUAUCAAAAUCACUAUCGAGGAUGAACUAGUCACAUCAAAAGAACAAACCCUAGACUGGCCAACCUCAGAGAUGGUUCACAUAGAGAGGGAUAGCUAAUGAUUAAACCUCCAUAACCCAAGAGGCAGGUCCAAAAAUCUCAAAACCAAAAAUAGACUACACAGCCAAUCACUAUUUCAAGAACCAUAAUUGAACUAUGGAAGGGCAACUUACCUUCACUUCCAUAACCCCCUCAACAAUCGAUCUAGCCUCACCAAUAAAUGAAGAAAAUGUCCAACCUUCUCUUGCUACAAGAGAGAGAUCCUUCAACCAAGAUAGUUUCCUAAGCCAACAAAUAACAACUACGAGGAUGGAAAAUUCUAGCUAGAUACUACUAGUCUAGUCAUCUACCAAGCGAUGAUUAAUAAAUAUCAAACAUUAGCAAUAAUAAUAAUAACCAUAUAAAUAUCAACAAAAGUAAUAGGUAGUACCAAAAAUUAAAAUCAAUAGAAACUACCACUCUAGUCCAUAAGAAGGCCAAUAUACCUAGGUAAAUGGGACUCGAACCCAAAUAGUACACCCUAGGGAAAUAUCAACACAGAUUCAUUCCAUCCACUACUAAAAUAAAUAAUCUAGGGUUAGUCAUAUAAUCAUGAACUCUAUAUCAAGGCAUACAACAAUAAAUAUAAGUCUACCAUUGCACAUGAUCAUCAAUGGGUACGAGAAGCCUGAUACACAUGAAUGAAAAGGUAAAGAUAGAAAAUAAAAGUGCACCUAUCAUGGCAAAAACCAAUGUCACAUGCCUAAUAGGUAUGAGGAAGAAAAAUUCUAAAUGGGUCUAACCUAGGAAUGAGCAUCUGAAUUAUCAACUAAGGAACUAACUGCACUGACUCUAACUAAUGGUUCUACAACACUAUGAGACUGGUCUGAAUGAGUUGAAUGACUAAUAAUCUCAUACCAGGGACACUCUUGGGACCAUUAAUCGAUCUUUUUAUAGUCGUAACAAAUGCCCAAAUCCUUAACCUAGUAAAAAUAUGAGCUAACCUCAACUGGGUAACUGACUGAUGCCAAGGGCACUCCUUACUGAAAUAACCAUCCUUCCUAUAAUCAUUACAUACCUUAAGAACUAUAGGAUGGCUAGGAAUAUAUUUUAACACCAUUUGAACAAUCAAAUUUCAUCUAGGGAACUCUUUAAACUAAUGAUUAAUCUCACCAUAGCCAAAACAAGCAUUUGUAAUACUCUAAGAUACUGCCCCUUCUGAUCCAGAACAACUGCUAUGGCCUAAAGACCUAUACUAAAAACUCUAUAAGGUCCAAUAAGAACUCUACCUAUUGUGAUUACCAUGACUAAUCUAAGGUCCACCUCUAGUCAAAAACAUAACCUAUAUAGAACCAAUAGGCUAUAAGCAAAGUUGACCUCCAUCAAAAGAAUCCUCACUCCAGAUGGAAUACUAAUAACACUAUAUUAAUGACAAGGCCUUUUAACACCACAUCUAUAAGUCUUAGUACAUACUCUCUCUAUGUCCUUCAUGUGGUUUAAAACCUAAGAAAAAGAAGACCUAGUUGAUAUCAAGUGCUUUAAGGAAAAACAGAGUGGCAAUUAUAAUAUUCUUAUAAAUCUAUGCACCAUGUCAUGCUCUGAAGGAUACUAUAUAGGGAUAUUCCUAUCCUACUCAAGAAAGUGAAUCUCAUACUCUAAAACUGAUAAGAAACCCUGCUGAGAAACAACAAACCUAACUCUAUCCAAAGAACUGCUCAAAGAACCAAAAUUCAACUCUAUCUGUAAGGUAUCCACAAAAAGACUUAGGAUACCCAAUGCUAAAUCUUAAAAGGCUGAGGUAUUCAGGAGCUCCACCGGAUCCUAGGUUGGCCCCAAAUCCUUUAACUAAAGUUGAGGAUCUUCAACAUCCAUCUCUAACACCCUAAUUCAAUGUUGCACUGAUAAUCUAGAAACACAUACCAAAGUCUUGUUUGCAUCUAUUGAUAACCUCACAUCAUCCAUGUUAGACAGAAGAGAAUCAAGGAACAUACUUAAGGUUCACAGAAAUUCGAACACACAACAAUGAGUCAAGAAUAGAAUUUCCUAAAAAUAUCUUGUAGCCUCUCAAAUAUUUGCUAUGGAUGUCUUCAAACCGGCACAUAGGAUUCUACUAGGCACUUAGCUCUUGUACUAACACAUCGAUAAACCUACGCUUUGAUACCAAUUUUUCAUGGCCCAUUUUCUCAACUCAUGAUGGCAUCUACUAUAACCCACUACUAGGUAAUCCAACCCCGUAGUCUAGAACUACUAGCAAUGGAAUACCAAGAGAAAAGAAGGAAUAAUACGGUAUAAAUGACGUAAAGGACAAAAAUACACGAGAUAGUCCAAAACCUAGUAAAAUCAAUACAAGGGCUUCUAAUGUAAUAUGAUUUUAAAAUGAAGUACUAAAUGAAUAUACUGAUAAAACCCAUCUUUGAAUACAAUAUAGAAACUAAUCUAAUACAUAAGAGGAUGAAUAGCUAUACUCCAAACACCAUGAGCUCACCCUACAUCUCUAAACUAAUCUAAUAAUUAGAAUGUCAUGAGCAAAUCAUAAUAAUAAUAAUAUAAAGCAACAGGCUAGCCCAGACAAAAAUACCUAAAUUGUGCCCCAUAACUCAAAAGUUCCAAUCAUCACAUAUAACAUACAACAAGCAACACUCAUCACCUAUACUUAUUCAACCCUUUAUCAAGAUAAUAGAUAUAGAUGCGUAAUGGUGACAGGUAAUGAGCAUGCAAGGGAGAAUGCAAAUAGAAUCCAUAAUAUCAUAAUCAAUACAAGUACCAUAAUGUAUCCAAAUGUAAACACCUCCACCAAAUCGAUAGCUCACAAAGGUAGGACCUAUGAAGACCUCUCUUCUCCAGCAUAAUAACUCAUGGACGAAGGGGCCACUAGAGGGUUUAGGAGUACCUGUAUACACCAAUCUAGUUCUAAUCUAGGAUUUCUAAUUUUCAUCAUCAUUAUCAAUCCACUUUGUUCAGCAUAUAUAUAAAUAUAAAUAUAUAUAUAUAUAAGAGGCAUAGGCUAGAACCGUGGCUAAAAGAGUGUAAUUCAAUUAAUCCAUUGGCUGAUGUAAACUCCAAGAUUAAAUUAUCAUAAAAGUGUAGAAAGGGUCAGAAUCUUAGUUGACCAAGGUAAAUAGUAGUUGCAAAAUUAUGGAUCAUAAUAUAUCUCAGUCAAAUCUGUAAACAUCAUUAUUUAGUCUUAAAGGCUAAUAAGUUAUUCAUUAAGAUGGUAUAAUUUCCAUUAUGAAGAAAUCUAUCUAAAAGUCAAAAGUAGGAAUAAAAUCCUUUUUAGGGAAAAGAGUAAUAAAUCCAUAUAUUUUGUUAGAAUCAUACCAUUUACCAUUUUAGUGACCAUGAAUGUACCGAAUCUAUGCAUUCCAUCACCAGUAUCCAAACAAUGCGACCAUAAGUACUAAAAAGAUUAUAAACUAUAGUCAUGUACUUUAGAAGGAUAAAAAAAACUUAUCAUAAUUCAACCAAUAUCAUAAUAAGCAUGUUUCUCCCAAUAAUAUAUCCUAUAUAACCAUAACAUAAUCACCACCAUAGGCCAAAUAAUACAUAUCCAACAUAACCAUACCAUCAUAAUCUAGGAAAAACCAUAACAAUACACCAAUAAGUGUAGUAACAUUAUACUAAAGGUUCAUUAGUCUCAACUAUGUAUAACAUGCAUAUAUAAGUAUAUAAAAACAAACACAAGUCUUAUCCUAUGGUGGCCUCCUUCUAAUCCUCGAAAUUUAUUUUUAGAAAAGUUGUUAUCCCAAACUAGACUAAGGUAUAUAUAUUUACUUCUUGAUGUUAAAUAAGCCUUGAUUAACCCUAAUAAAUCAAUUCUACCUAAAAAUAGGAAACUAAGUCACUUCUACCUAAAUUACGGUUCUAAGGUAGUCUAAAUGGUCCAACUAAGACUAACUAUACCAACCAUGCUUUUAAUACCUAAAUACUAUCCCAUAUAUAGCACAAUAUCAUAAUUAUACUACAAAUUAUCUUAAUAUAUAAAGAAGGUAGUAGGAUCAAAGAAGUAUAAUAAGUAUUUCACCUUAAGGGUCAGUUACCCUUCUAGCCUCCAAACUCAUAAAUUAGACUGUCACAGUGUUUUACCCAAAAUCACAGCCUAAAAUCCCUAUCUAAUAUAUAAUAUCUAUAAAACACCAUCUCAUGAAGAAUAGUAGACAUAAGCUACCUCAAUGAUAAACAACAACCCUUGAAUUAUCCAUGAGUCUUUCGUCUUUACUUCAUGAUCCCAAAAUGUUGUCAUGCUAUCAAAAUAAUAAUUUACAUAUCAUUAGGAGUAAAACAAUACCCUUAUUUCUACAAUAAGGAUCGAUUCAAAUUUUGGGUCAACUAGACCCUGAGACCCACAAAAAAACCUAAAAAUUAAGCCUGUCAUGAGGUCCCUCAAGGACAAGGAAUGUAAAAUAACCAUGGUUUUGGUCCUUUGAAAUUUCAUAAGAUUUGAGCUCACUGUCCUAGUGAUGACUCACAAUAUGAGUAGUAUGGUGUAGGUACGGGUCAAGUGACCCUACUCGUAUGGUAUUCAGUGAAUGGUGGUUGGGUUUCUAUUGUGGUUACGAUUAGGGUGGUACGGGUCAUUAGUGGUGAUGACGGUUUAUGUUUUGAUCCCUUAAGUAAAUCAGUAAUUUAAUAACUUGACUUGGCUUUAAGUAGAGUGGCUCACUAGGAUCCGUGAGAAUAGGGUAUGAGUUAUUCUAACAAGUCGUAUGUUGCUCAGUGCCAAUCCCUUUAGAUUUUGUCUUGGGUAUGAUUGGACCAUACGAGUCAGAUAGUCGGGUCAUGAGUGGGGGUCAGAAAGUUGUAUGGUGGAUAGUGUAUGGGUGACCAACUCACUGUUUUGGUGAUGACUCAAUAGUACGAGUCGUAGUUAUGGUCAUGAGUCAUGGGAUCGACUCAUAACCACCUGUGAUAUUCUUACAUUUUUAAGUUAGGAGUAUUCUGGACAUUUCCUCUUGUAACUCCUUUGUAUACCAUGAUAUAAAACACCUUUUGGGACUUUAUUAACCUAUUAUUAUCAAUCAAACACUCUUAAAAUCUCUCUCUCCAACUCUUAGUUCAAGUAAAGACUAGGGUUUUUUUUAAGCAAUCAAUUAGGGGCUUUUAAGAGUGAUUGUCUCCAUCUUCCUUAGAGUAUAAGUCAUGUUACUCCUACCUCAUUAUUAUUUUACAAAGAGAAUGUGUAUUAAUGAAUAAAUUUCAUGAUAUUGAUAUGGUUUGAAAUAAUGGUUGGGGUUUUUUGGAUGUUUAUGAUUGAAUAAUGUUUCUCAUGGUUUAAUUAUGUUUCUUUCAUGCUUUUAAUAUGAUUUUGACAUUAUGGAAUGCAUGGUUAUGGUAAAUGAAUUUAGGGGUACUUUGGAUUCCCCCAAAUUAAUUGGUUAUGGUUUUGAAACAUGUGUGCCCUCAUCUUGUUUGUUAAAAUGUCAAUGAGAAUGAUUUUUUCACAUAGUUGACUAUUCAUGAAAUCUUUGCAUUACAUAAAAAGGUAAUGGCUUAAAUUUGUUUGGUUGGUCUUAAAUGGGUUGGAAAGGCCUUGGUGGCCAUGGUCAUGUCUUAAUUGAAACUUUAGAUUCAAAUUGGUUUAAUGGUUUUGGUAUGGCAUAAAUAGAUAAACUUGCAAGCUCUAAUUUUGGUAUGACGAUACUAAUGGUUAAAUGCCUAAUAGAAGACUCCUUGGUAAAUGAUUGGAAUAUGUAAAUAGUUUUAAUAUGGGCUUAAAGGGGGUUAUGUAUCAAAUCUGUAGAAGGUGGAGUUCCUAAGAAACCAAUACUAGAAACUCAUAUUUGUUGAUGUGAGGUUUAGUCAUGGUGACCGUGUGCAUGAUAUCACACUUUAUAUUUGGGAUAUGUACCAGUCAUCUCAGGUUCUUUCCUUCGGUCAUACGGCUAACACGUACUAGACCCUUUCAGCAUGGGGAGCUAAACCCAUAUAGCUCGUGGGUGGUUUUAAGAUGGCAAAGCUACACAGACCAAGUUAAGGUUUUAAGUGCAUGCUAAACCUGGUUCCCUUUCCCAACAUGAUAUAGAUGUAUAUAUAUGAUUGCAUAUGGUUAUUUGACUUGGUUUUGAAUAAUGGCAUUAUUUUAUAUUUAUUCCUAAGUAUCUGCUAGCGUUCACUCUGCUAACUAUCUUCUGGCAUUGUAUCACCAUGUGAUGCAGUAAUUGACUAUACUACUAUUCUUCCUACUUAAUGACUUAGAUUUAGGGACAACUUUGAGUCAGACUAAAGUGGUGAACUUUCAUACUUUGGAAGACACUAUUUUAUGCUAUGGACUUCUUUAUUUUUGUUAUUUCAUUGGUUUGGUUUUAUCUAUGUUCUUGGGCAUGUCCUAUUAUUGAUUCUGGAUAGACUUUUUGUUAGACUACUGUGGGCAUGGGUGAUGUCAUUGUUAGUUUUAGCCUUGGUAUUAGUAUUGCUAUUAGGGUUUGUAUCAGUUGGAUAAUUGGUUGAGGUUGUUGGAUUAUGACUACAGACCUUAUUUAAUGUUUAUAAAUUAUUAUUAUUUUAUCUUUUUAUAUGUUUAAAAUUCAUCCGACAUAGGGUGCAAGGUGGUUAUGGUUGGGUAUUGGGGGUGGUCUCUAGUUCUAUUUGGACUUGAUGUGCCCGACACGACUAGGACCUAGUUUAGAUCAUAUUAAAUUAGUAUCAUAGCACUAGGUUCAUGGCCAAUUGGAUAUCUAACAAAGUCAUGUCGAGUAGAAUCUCUUUUAUGGAUGCGUAGCACACCAUACUCAUAAAGGGGAGGCUAUAAGGCAUUUAGAAAUAUUUCUCUUUCUUGUGUUCUAUUUUUGAGUUGUAGAGUCUAAGGUCCUGAAAUCUUCUCUAAUUCUCAUUUGUUCUCUUUUCAGAUCAUGACUCCUCAAAUAUCCGAAGCUCAUGGAAACUCCUCUAUCCCACUUGAGGAUAAUGUUGAUGGGACCAGUUCUACUUAUGGGAUCUAAACCUUAUCUAGGGAUCCAUUCCUAAUUUUCUUCCUAGAGUUCCACCAAUUCCCUCUAGUCCUUCUCAAGCUUCUCAGGCUGAUGUGAUGAAUGUUGAGUUUCAUCAGUCUAUUCAUAUGUUAGCAUCAUUGGUAGCUUCUUAGGAUGAGCAUGGUGAAUCUAUUACUCCAUCUUUUGAGGCCAUAAGGGUUGGCUAAUUUAUAAGGUUAAACCCUCUUGUGUUCAUGGGUGUUAAGGUUAAGGAGGAUCCUCAAGUUUUUAUGGAUGAGAUGGAAAAGUUCUUCUUUAUUAUGCAUGCUACUAGUGUGAAAGGUGUGGUAUUUGCUACCUAUCAACUAAAAGAUAUAGCAUACCAAUGGUAUGAGGAAUGGGAACAUACUAGGGGUGAUGAUGCUAAGCCAGCCUUGUGGGAUAAUUUUUCUAAUGCUCUUCUAGACUGCUUCUUUCCUCAAGAGUUAAGGAAAGCAAAGGCGGAAGAGUUUGUUAAUCUGAAACAAGGCAAGAUGUCAGUCAAGGAGUAUGCCUUAAAGUUUCACCAAUUAUCUUGAUAUGCUCUAGAAUUAGUUUCUAGCCUGAGGUCUAGAAUAAGAAAGAUUUCUUUUAGGUUUUCUUAAGACUUAAUAUAGGAAAGUAAGAAUUCCUUAUUGAACAGGGACAUAGAUAUCUAUAGGUUGGUUGUGUACAUACAACAGGUAGAAGAAGAGAAGAAGAAGCAUGUUAAGAUAGUAGAGAGGCAUAGAAAGAAAUUCAAAUUUUCUGAGUAGGGUAAUAGCCAAAAGUAGAGUGGCAGGGAUGAUGGGAAGUGGUCUAAAAUAAAGUGGGUCAAUUUUGGGUCUUACUCAACGGCUUGUGCUCCCUACCCAAAGCCAUUGGGUGACCUGCAUUUUAGAGCAGCAGUAAUUAUAAGGCAUAGGGUGCCCAAUCUCAGGCUAGUGGGGCUCAGUCAGCUCUAUAGUAUCCUCUCUACAGAUUUUAUGGGUGAAUGCAUUAGGGUUAUUGUGAUGAAGAAAAGGACAAGUGCUUCAACUGUGGUCAACCCAGGCACAUGGUUAGAAAUUAUCCUAUUGGUAAGGUUGCUUUUGGGUAACAAGGUUCUUGUUACCUUUUCUUCAGCUCUGGACCAAAGGGUGCACCAUCUAGUUCCAAUACUGGUCGAAACUGUCUCUAUGCUCAUACUACUUGCCAGGAGUCCGAGGCAUUGCUUGAUGUCAUGACUAGUAUGUUGACACUCUUUUCUUAUGAUGUGUAUUGUUUACUUGAUCCUGGGUCCACUGUCUCUUAUGUAACCUUAUUUAUGGCUAUAUAUUUUAGUUUUGGUUCUGAGUGUAUUUCAGACCCUUUUUUUAAUUUCUACCCUAGUGGGUGACUCUGUGGUGGCUAGAAGAGUCUAUAGGGGUUGUGUGGUAGCUAUGGGUAGUUGGGAGACUUUGGUGGAUUUAUUUGAAUUAGACAUGAUUGAUUUUGACAUCAUAUUAGGGAUGGACUAGUUGUACUUGUUUUAAACUUCUCUAGAUUGUCGGACCAAUAAGGUUGUCUUUAAAUUCCCUAAUAAGCCAUAUAUUGAUUGGGAGGGUGGUUCGCUGCUCCUAAGGGAAAUUUCAUACCAUAUCUUAAAGCUUGGAGAUUAAUCUCCAAGGGGUGUCACUAUCAUCUAGUUUGGGUUAAAGAUUCUAACUCGGAGGGUCCUUCUUUGCAUUCUGUCCUGGUGGUGAAUAGAUUUCUUGAGGUCUUCUUUGUUUACCUUCCUGAUGUCCCUCCUAAUAGAGAGAUUAAUUUUUGGGUUGAUAUUAUUUUGGACACUUGUCCGAUUUCUAUUCCUCCGUAUAAAAUGGCUCCGACUGAGUUAAAUAAGCUUAAGGAGCAACUAAAGGAUCUCUUAGACAAAGGUUUCAUCCAUCCUACUAUGUCCCUAUGAGGUGCACAUAUUUUGUUUCUAUGAAACAAUGAUAGUUUCCUUCGGAUGUGUAUUGACUACCGGCAGUUGAAUAAAGGGACAUUAAAUAGUAUACCCUCUUCCAGGGAUAGAUGAUUUGUUUGAUCAGCUUUAGGAUGCUAAAUAUUUCUCUAAAUUUAAUCUUUGAUCCAGGUAUCAUUAGUUAAAGAUUAAGGAGGUAGAUAUCCCUGACACUGCCUUUCGUACUAAGGAUGGGCAUUUUGAGUUUCUGGUUAUGUGUUUGGGUUGUCUAAUGCCCCAGUGGCAUUCAUAGGCUUGAUGAAUAUAGACUUUCAUCAGUCUCUAGAUUUGUUUGUCAUCUUAUUCAUAGAUGAUAUUUUGGUGUAUUUUAAAAGCGAGGUGGAUCAUUCCAAUCACCUCUAUAUUGUGUUGCAAACUCAAAAAGAGCAGUAGUUGUAUGCCAAGUUUUUGAAAUGUGAAUUCUAGUUGAAUGCUAUCACUUUUUUAGGUCAUGUCAUUUCUGGUAAAGGGAUCAUGGUGGAUUCACAGAAGUUUUCAGUGGUUAAGAAGUGGCCUAGACCUAUGACUCCAAUCGAUAUUUGGAGUUUCUUGGGUUUAGUUAGAUACUACAAGAGGUUCAUGGAAAGCUUCUCUUCUAUAGCUGCCCCAUUGACUAAGUUAACUCAGAAGAAGGUGAAAUUCUUAUGUUUUGAUGCUUAUGAGGGUAGUUUUAUGAAGCUGAAAGAUAAGCUGACUUUGGAUCUAGUCUUGACCUUGGCCAAAGGCAUUGAUAGAUUCGUAGUCUAUUGUGAUGCAUCCUAUAUGGGGCUUAGUUAUAUUUCGAUGCAGUGUGGCAAGGUGAUAGGUUAUGCUUCUAGACAGUUGAAGGUGUAUGAGAAGAAUUAUCAGACCUACAACUUGGAAUUUUAUGUUGUGGUGUUUGCAUUUAAAAUCUGGCAUCACUAUCUAUAUGGCAUGUAUAUGGAUAUCUUUUCAGAUCAUAGGAGCCUGCAAUAUGUGUUUAUUCAGAAAGAACUUAAUCUAAGGCAAAAAAUGGAUUUAGUUUUUGUGGGAUUAUGACAUGAGUCUCCACUACCAUCUAGGUAAAGCUAAUGUGGAUGUUGAUGCUUUUAGUAGGCUAUCCAUAAGAUGUCUAGCUCAUAUAGAUAAAAAAAAGUGGGAAUUGGUGUAAGAUAUUCACCAUUUGGUUAACCUUGGAUUUUAUCUCUUGGAUUCUAAUAAUGGUGGUGUGGUUUUGUAGGAGGUGGCGUAGUCAUCUCUUAGUGCUGAAGUAAAGAAGAAGCAAGUCUUGGAUCCUAUCUUGAUAAGGAUUAAAGGUGAUAUAGUGGGCAAAAGGCAAUGGCUUUCAAGAUUAGUGGUAAUGGUAACUUGCGUUACCAAGAAAGUUUAUGUUUUCCUAAUAUAGAUGGUUUGCAUGAGAGGAUCUUAUCAAAGGUGCAUAAGUCACAUUAUGUUAUCCAUCUUGGGUCGAUAAAAAUGUAUCAUGACCUUAAAGAGAUGUAUUGGCGGAACAAUAUAAAGCAGGAUGUGGCAAGUUUUGUUUCUAACGGUAUGGUAUGCCAACAAGUAAAUGUUAAGCAUAUAAGACCAGAGGAUCAAGAAAUUGAGUUUCCUGUGUGGAAAUGGGAAGUGAUCAACCUGGACUUCAUUACCGAUCUUCCUCUAUCUCGAAAUCAAUUUUAUUUAGUUUGGGUCAUCAUGGAUAGGGUGACAAAGUCUGCUCAUUUCUUACCAGUAAGGACUAAUUUUUUAAUAGAGCAUUACGCAAGGUUGUAUCUCCAAGAGCUUAUAAAGUUGCAUGGGGUACCUAUUUCUAUCAUCUUAGAUCAUGGUAUGCAGUUUUUAUCACACUUUUGGCAGUCAUUUUAGAAAGGUUUGGGGACCAUGGUGAGUCUUAGUACAGCCUUCCACCCGCAGUCGGAUGGGCAAGUGGAAAAGACUAUUUAGAUAUUGGAGGAUAUGCUUUGGGCUUACGUGAUUGACUAUGGUGGUAGUUAGGUUGAGUAUUUUCCUCUUAUAAAGUUUGCCUAUAAUAAUAGCUACCACUAGAGAAUUAGAAUGGUUCCAUUUGAGGUGUUGUAUGGUAGGAGGUGUAGAUCUCUUAUUGGGUGUUUCGAGGUUGGUGAGGCAGAGAUGUUUGGCUCAGAGUUGGUUCGCCAGGCCAUGGAGAAGGUGAAGGUGAUUCUGGAUAGACUUAAGGCUACCUAAAGUUGGAAAAGUCCUAUAUGGAUAUAAGAUAAAGUAAUUUAGAGUUUGAGGUUGGGAUAGGGUGUUCUUGAAGGUCUCCUAUGAAGUAAUGAUGCGGUUUGGGAAGAAGGAAAAGCUCAGUCCCUAGUAUGUUGGUUUGUACUUUGUUUUGAGAAAGGUUGGUAAUGUUGCGUAUGAGAUGGAGUUGCCUUCUAGUAUGAGAUCCAUUCACCAUGUAUUCCAUGUUUCUAUGUUGAGAAAGUGUAUGGGUGAUCCAUUGCGAAUUAUGCCUAUCAAGGAUAUUAGUAUUCUGGAUUCCCUAUCUUAUGAGGAUAUCCCGAUUGAGGUCUUGAAUCGUUAGGUUAGUUGAUUGCGGACCAAGGAAAUGGCCUUGAUAAUGGUUUUAUAGAGGAACCACAAAGUUGAAGAGGCUACUUGGGAAGCUAAAAAGGAUAUGAAUUCCAAGUCUCUAACUUUGUUUUCUGCUCCAGAAGAUCAUACGGAAGGUAUGUGUUAUUCUUAAUAUCUUUGCUUUCUAACUUAGAUAAAGGUAAGAGUGGAUUGUGAAUUCCUUGGCAAUCUGUUUUAUGUAUUAAUGGUAAGCAUAGGGAUGCGUGAGGGUUCAAUCAUGCUAGUCAAUGCCUUGUCCUAUCAUUUGAGGAUGAAUGAUCUAAGUGCGGUAGAAUUGAAAUACCCUGGGUUUUGGUCCUUUGAAAUAUCCUGAGCUUUGAGCUCACUGUCGUAGUGAUGACUCGCCAUAAAAGUCAUAUGGUGUGGGUACGGGUUAGGUAACCCUACUUGUAAGGUUUUCAGUAAAUAGUGGUUGGGUUUCUGUUGUGGCUACGAUGGGGUUAUAUGUGUUAUUACUGGUGGUGACAGUUUCCUUGGUCGGUCCCUUAAGUAAAUCAGUAAUUUGGUGACUUGCCUUAGCUCUGACUAAGAGUGGCUCACUUGGAUCCAUGAGGAUAGGUUACGAGUUAUUUUGACAAGUCGCUUGUUGUCUAAUGUCAAUUGCUUUGGAUUCUGUCUUAGGUAUAACUGGACCAUAUAAGUCAUAUGGUCGGGUCACGAGUGGGGGUCAUGGAGUCGUAUGGUGGACAGUGUAUGGGUGUCCAACUUACUAUUUUGGUGACGACUCAAUGGUACAAGUCAUAUGUUGUGGUGACGAGUCAUGGGAUUGAGUCGUAAGCACCUGCAAUAUUUUUAUAGUUUUAAAAUGCGGCAUUCUAGAUAUUUUUCCUUGCAACACCUUUGGAUAACAUGACAUACAACACCUUUUAGGACUUCAUUAACCUAUUAUUCUCAAUCAAACACUCUUAAAACCUCUCAAACUCUUGGUUCAAGCAAAGGCUAGGGUUUUUUCAAAACAAUCAAUUAGGGGCUUUCAAGAGUGAUUCUCUUUGUUUUCCUUGGUUUCUAUGGCAUGUUACUCCUCUCUCAUUGUUAUUUUAAAGAGAUCAAGUGUUUUAAUGUAUGAAUUUCAUGAUGUUGCUAUGGUUUGAAAUAAUGGUUGGGGUUUUUUCGAUGUUUAUAGCUAAAUAAUGUUUCUCAUGGUUUAAUGAUGUUUCGUUCAUGCUUUUAUUAUGAUUUUGACAUUGUGGAAUGCAUGGUUUUGGUAAAUGGAUUUAGGGGCACUUUGGAUUCUCCCAAAUUACUUGGUUAUAGUUUUGAAACAUAGGUGCCCUUAACCUGUGUAUUAAAAUGCCAAUGAGAAUGAUUUGGUCAAAUAGUUUGACUAUUCAUGAAAUCUUUGCAUUGCAUAAAAAGGUAAUGGAACUUAAUUUGUUUGGUUGGUUUUAAAUGGAUUGGAUAGGCCUUGGUGUCCAUGGUCAUGAUUUAAUUGGAAACUUUGGAGUCGAACUGGCUUAAUGGUUUUGGUAUGGAAUAAAUGGAUAGACUUGCAAGCUCUAAUUCUGGUAUGACGAUACCAAUAGUUAAAUUCCUAGUAAAAGACUCCUUGGUCAAUGGUUGAAAUGUGUAAAUGGUUUUCAUAUGGGCUUAAAGGGAGUUGUGUAGCAAAGUCGUGGAAGGUGGAGGUCCCGGGGGGACUAAUACUGGAAACUCAUGAUUGCCUAAUGAGGUUUGGUCAUGGUGACCGUGUGCCUGAUGUCAUACUUUAUAUUUUGGGAGAUAUACUUGUCAUCUCUAGUUUUUUCCUCUAAUCUGUGGCCAACACGCACUAGUUCCCUUUCAGCAGGGGGAGCUGAACCCGUAUAGCCUGUGGGUAGUUUUAGGACAUCAAAUCUACACAGCCCAGAUAAAUGUUUUAAGUGCUUGCUAUACCCGGUUCCCUUUCCGGGCACAUUAUAUAUGUAUAUAUAUGAUUACAUUUGGUUAUUUGACUUGGUUUUGAAUGAUGUAAUUAUUUUAUCUUUAUCCAUAAGUACAUGCUAGAGUUCACUCCGCUAACCGUCUUCGGUCUUGUAUCCCCACACGAUACAGGAACCGGCCUUACUAUUAUUCCUCCUACUCAGUGACUUGGAUUCAGGGACAACUUUGAGUUAGACUUACAUGGUUAGCUUCCAUACGUCGAAAGGCUCCAUUUUAUGUUAUGGACUUUUUUUUUGUUAUUUCUUUGGUCUAGUUUUGGCUAUGUUUGGGGGAAUGUCCCAACCGGAUGUUAUUGAUUCUGGAUAGAAGCUUUGUCAGACUACUAUGGGCAUAGGCGGUGUCGGUAUUGGUGUCAGCCUUGGUAUUGGUAUUGGCAUUGGGGUUGGCACAGGUUGGAUAAUUGGUUGAGGUUAUCGGAUUAUGACUAUAGACCUUAUUUAAUAUCAUUAGACUAUUAUUGUUUUAUCUUGUUAUAUGUUCAAAAUUCAUCCAACAUAGGGUACAUAGCGUUUAUGGUUAGGUAUUGGGGGUGGUCUCCGAUCCUGAUUGGACUUGAGAUGCCCAACAUGACUAGGCUUGGUUUGGGUUGUGUCAUAAUAUGUUCUCAAAAGUUGAGCACAAACAGAGUAUAAAUAGGGCCUCAAAUCAAAGGUCAAAAUUUAGGAAUUUAAGACCUAGUUUCUAAGAAUUUUACCAUGAAUUAAGAUGGAAAUCGAAGGAAAAAUUAAUGGGCAAUAACCAUUUAGGGUUAGGUUAUUAUACCUUAACUUAUAUGGAUGAUUUCCCACUUUUUCCUCUCUUUGUUCUCUCAACUUGGUGUAAAAAUAGUGGAAGAAAUGGUAUAAAAUCGGGAUGGGAAGAGGGCAUCUAAAUCCUCUAGGUGCCACUUACGCAGUCACUUUAUCGCUUAAGCGGCUCACCUAUCGCUUAGGCGAUCUGGAGGUUGGGGAUCGGGUAUUGAUUGGGUGACCCAUAGGAUGCUUAAACGAACAAAGCAUCACUUAAGUGGCAAUUGACCAGAUGGUCAAUGUCUCAAAAGUGACAUAAUAUGACAUACACAAUGACAGUUUAAGAAGACAUAUGAUUACUUAAGUGGUUUCAUUAGCAAUCUGAUGCACCAUAUUUUGCAAAGUCCAGAAUGGACUUUGGUCGGGUGCUCAGGAUUUAUUCGGAACCUCGUACGCGCAAAUAAAAUAUGCUACCAUAUAAAAUUUGACAUUGUAGACUAAAUAAAACCAUCAAAACUUUCAUUCAAGUUUGUUUUGACCAAAAGUUGGGCCCACACCUAUAGUUUUAUUUUUUAUAUAAUUCUCCUAAUUGCACAAAAUGAGUCUGGAAAGCUCGAUGCCUCAACCAGGGGUAUCUGUAGCCUAAAAUCAAUGUUUUGGAGUUGAUGGAGCUGGCAAAAUUUGCAUCCAAGGUUAUCUACUAGGUGUUUUGGUCUGAGACCAAAUCCUAAAUAGCAAAAGCUCAAAAAUAGAUAAAUGAGCCUAAAAUCCAAAUGAACUGUCCAAUAAUCGAAAGACGGUUUCGUCAAGUCAUAAAUGACUUGUAGCCUUUAUGGGAAGGGUUGAAAUACCUGAAAUGCAUAUAAAUUAAGGAAAUGACCUAGAGGAUCAUUGUAAUUUUAAAGUAUCCUAGGGUGUCUAAAAGUCACAUUAAAUAAAGACUUAUUCAUAGGUGUGAAGCAUGUCACACUUAUGAUAGAGAGAGACUAUGAAACAUUUUAGUAGAAGUUUUACUUCUUUCAUGUUCAUAUUGUGCGAUACAGUGUGAACUCUAUUAAAUCCUUCUUCUUACUCGUUCUCUACAUAUUUCAAAAAUGUGCCUCUAAUAGAACUAACGAAAAUAGGAGCAGAAAUGAUAACAAUGUUAAGAAUCAGCAAAAAAACACUGCUAACUCUAUAAAAUCCUCUGAAUAAACAAUUCUCCCAUGCUAAACUUAGGGCUAUUUCUAUAUCCUUAGCCCAGUCUAUGACCACCCAGAAUAACCAACUGGUUGUGCCACUAGCCAACCCAAUAAUGAAUGUGAAACCAGCUAGAGUCUGAGACUUCACUCGGCUGAAUCCUUCAGUGUUUUUUGGGUCCAAGUAUGAAGAGGAUCCAUAGGAUUUAUAUGAUGGUAUUUAGAAAGUUAUAGAGAUAAUAGGUAUUACCCCAACUCAAAGUGCUUAUUGUGUUGUUUAUCAUCUUUAAGGAAUGGCUCACAUAUGGUAUAAUGGAAAAAAGAUAAGGGUACAGAAGUAAAGCUAGUGCAGUGGGAUGAGUUUGUUGUUGCAUUUCUGCACAUAUACUUCCUACUUGAGAUAAUGAAGGCCAAGGUGAUGAAAUUCAUAAAGCUAAAGCAGGGUACCAUCAGCGUAAAGGAGUAAUUAGUUGGCAAGGUAUGCCCCAACUAUGGUUGUUGAUUGCAGGGCCUGCAUGAGCAAUUUUGUGUGUGGCAUUUCUGAGGAUAUGGUUAAAGAGUGUAGGAAUACUAUGUUUGUGAAUGAGAUGGACAUCUCUAGGCUAAGGUUAAUGCUUAAUAGACUGAAGAAGAGAAAAUAAAGAAGAAAUAAUGGGAGAUUAAAAAGGCCAAAAUAAGUAGCUUCAAUUUAUCUCAAUUAAAGUAUGAUGGUGGAACUCAUUCUCAGUUUCUCCAGAAAUCUUCAGCUCUAUCCCCAUCUUCUGGUAGUGCUCCAGUGCCCAAGUUCAACAAGAUAAUCUAGAUAGGUCGCUAGGAUCCAAGUCCUAGGGUAGUACUAGUAGUAUUUGUACUAACCCGAUAUGGAUGAAAUAAGGUAGACACCAUAAAGGUGAGUGUACGAUUUAGAUUUUGGUGUGGAAAUCUAGGCCAUGGACAGAGGGAAUAUCUAGUGUCUUAGAAAAGAGGUAGGGAUGUUUGUUAGUAAAGUUAGUCCAACUCUUCAGUAACUCUAGCAAUUCACCUAACUUGAUAGGUAAUCUCACCUAGAUCAACUAGAGGACAGCAUCAAAAUAGGUUUUAUGCCCUUCAAAAUCGACAGGAUCAGGAGGGUUCUCUUAAUGUAGUCAUGGCUAUGUUAUAGGUCUUUCAUAUUCAUGAUUAUACAUUAUUAGAUCCUAGAGAUACAUUUUUUAUAACUCCCUAUAAAGCAUUAGUCUUCGGUGUCUGCCUCAAAAUUAUUUCAGAACCUUUCUCAAUCUCUAUUCUAGUUAGUGACUCAGUCAUACCUAGAUGGGUAUGCAGAAAUUUUCCAAUCAUAAUUUCCCACAAAGUCACCUUAGUUUACCUUGUAAGGUUAGACAUGGUAGACUUUGAUGUCAUUUAUCUCAUUGAUUAGCUCUACUCUUUCUAUUCCUCUAUUGAUUGUAGAAAGAGAGUAGUCCAAUUCUAGUUUCCAAAUGAACCAGUUCUAGAGUAAAAGGGUAGUACCUUAACGCCUAUGGAUAGUUCAUCUCCUACCUUAAGGAUAGAAAGUUGAUCUCCAAAGGUUAUAUCUGUAAUAUUGUUUGGUUUAAGGAUUAAAAUUAUGAAGCCUUAACUCUUGGAUCAGUUCCAGUGGUAAACAAGUUUCUAUAAGAUCUACCCAGAGUUCUUCCCGAAUAGGAAAUUGACUUUGGAAUACAUCUCCUUCCAUAUACCCAACCUAUUUUAAUUCCACCCUAAGAAUGUCUCCACCCAAGACUAAGGAGUUGAAGGAACAACUAAAAGACCUCCUAGACAAGAUUAAAUUUGGCCCAACAUCUCUCUGUGGGGUGCUCUAAUUCUUUUCGUGUGCAAGAUAGUUCUCUCAAAAUGUGAAUCAAUUACCAUCAAUUGAACAAGGUCACGGUUAAAAAAAAGUAUCCCACCCCUAGAAUUGAAGACUUGUCGGGCUAACUUCUGGGUGAAAAAUUAUUUCUCUAAGAUAGACCUCCGAUCAGGCUACCAUAAGCUCAAAGUUAGAGAACAUGACAUUUGAAUGACAAGCUUCAAAAUCAAUAUGUUCACUUUGAAUGUGUUGUUAUGUCUUUUGGAAUAAUGAAUUUUCCUGUAACUUUUAUAGACUUGAUAAAAAGGGUGUUCAAUCAGUACUUGGAGAUAUUCGUCAUAUUCUUCAUAGUUGAUAUCCUCAUUUACUUUCAUACUAAGGAUGAACAUGCAAUCAUAUGAGGAUUUUCUAGCAGACUCUUAAAAAUCACCUACUUUCUCCAAGUUCAUUAAGUGUGAAUUCGGGUUGAAAUUACUAACAUUCUUUGGUCAUAAUAUUUUUUUUGUAGGUGUUGGGAUUGAUCUUAAAAGACUAAAGCAACAACGAACUGGCCUAGGACUAUUUAUCCAUCAAAUAUUAGGAGUUUCUUGGGCUUAGAUGGCUACUACAUAUUGUUUUUUGAAUGAUUUUCCUCCAUUGCCUAUCCCAUGUAUAGGUUGACUUAGAAGAAAGUAAAAUUUUAGUUGUACGAUUCUUAUGAAAAGAGUUUUUAAGAGUUGAAGACUCAACUCAACACUGCUCCAGUUUAACUUUGCUUGAGGACUCAAAUGGUUUUAUGGUUUACUAAGAUAUAUACAAAUAAAGAGUUAUAGAAUAUGCCUCUAUACAACUCAAGUCUCAUGAGAAGAACUACCCGACAUAUGAUCUCAAGUUUGUAGCAGUUGUUUUGGCUUUAAAGUUUUGAGGCAUUACCUCUUAAGGUUUGUGUUGAAGUGUUCAUUGAUCAUAAGAGACUUCAGUGUGUGUUCAGUCAGAAAAAUCUAAGUCUACGACAAAUAAGAUAGAUAGAGUUGUUGAAAAGUUAUGAUAUGAUUGUCUCAUACUAUCUUGGUAAAGAUAAUAUGGUGGAAAACACUUUUAGCAGAUUAUCUAUAGUAAGUGUUGCUCAUGUAUAGGAUGAGAAUAAGGAACUAGAUUGUGAGGUUCAUUGGCUGGCCAACCUAGGAGUUCGGUUGGUUGAUUCAACUAAUUAUAGUAUUUUGGUUUUGAGUGGUUCAAAAUCACCUUUGAUAUCCAAGGAGAAUUAAAAGUAAGAUAGCGAUCCUAUUUUGCUUAAAUUAAAAUCAACGGUAUAAAGUCAAAAGGUUGAGGUUUUCUCCUAAAGAGGGGAUGGUGUUUUUUGCUAUCAAGGUAGACUUUAUAUUCAGGAUGUAGAUGACUUAAGACACCGGAUGCUACCAGAGUCUCAUAGUUCUCGGUAUUCUAUAUACCUAGGAGCCACUAAGAUAUACCUUGAUUUAUAAGAAGUCUAUUGGUCGAAUGGUAUGAAGAAAGAUAUUGCAAAAUUUUUGGCUAAGUGUCUAAAUUGCCAAUAAAUUAAGGUCGAGCACGAGAGACCUAGUGGUAAGCUUUAAGGCAGAAUAUCCCUACUUUGUAGUGGGAAGUAGUGAAUAUGGACUUCAUCACAAGGUUGUCUCAUACUCAUCAACAAAAUGAUUCCAUUUGGGUUAUUGUGGAUUGAGUAACUAUGUAAGCCCAUUUUCUACUAGUUAAAACUUUAGAUUCAGUUAAGGACUAUGCUAAACUCUACCUUAAGGAGUUGGUGAAAUUUCAUGGAGUCUCUUUCACUAUCUUAUCAGAUCAAGGUACUUAGUUUAACUUUUAAUUUUUAAAGAUGUUUCAGAAGGGUCUUGGAACCCAAGUUCAUCUCACUACAACUUUUCACCCACAGAUAUAUGGUCAGGCAGAAGGACCAUUACGACCUUAGAGGACAUGUUGAGAGGUUGUGUGAUCUAUUUCAAGGGUAACUAGGAUGAUCAUUUUCCUUUGAUUGAGUUUCCUUAUAAUAAUAACUAUCUCUCCAGUAUUCAGAUAGACUCAUUUUAGGAAAUUUAUGGUAGGAGGUGCAGAUCUCCUUGGUUGGUUUGAGGUUGGUGAAGCUAUAUUAAUAGAACCAGACUCAAUCCAUGAGGAUAUUGAGAAAGUUUAGCUAAUUAGAGAAAGGUUAAGAAUGGUUUAGAGUCAUCAAAAAUCCUAUGCAAAUGUGAGAAAUAUAGAGCUUGAGUUUGUUGUUGGUGAUUUUAUCUACUUGAAAGUUUCACUUAUAAAGGGGUGAAAAUUUUGUGAAGCAAGGAAAGCUUGGUCCUUGAUAUAUAGGUCCUUAUGAUAUUGUAGGUCACUUUUGAAAAGUAGCGUAUGGGUUAGAUUUGCUGACAGACUUAGCAACAGUUCAUCCAAUCUUCCAGGUUUCCUUGUUGAAGAAAUAUAUUAGUGAUCUGGAAUCGAUUGUGCCCUUAAAAGGGUGGGCGUGAAAUAUAGUGUCUCUUAAGAAGAGGUUCCUAUUAAGAUCCUAGACCAUUAGGUUCGUGAGUUAUAAAAUAAAGAGGUCACCAUUGGCAAAAGGAUUUUGGCAAACUCAAUCGGUUGAGGGAGCUACUUAGGAAAUAAAGGCAGAUAUGAUGACCAAGUACCCCCACCCCUUCCCCUCUAACUCAGUUGCAUCCUAAGGUAAUUAUUUCUCCAUAAUUAAUUAGUUCUUAUUAUUUUAUGUCAACUAACUAUUCUCAUGUCAUAGCAUGUGUCCAUGAUUCUUGUUUAGUCCACGUUUUAGUUACCAACUUAGUAUCAUGUCAAUGCCCAGGUCAAAAAACUCGAUGUAAAAAUUUUAGGUAUAGAUAGUGUUAAAGGAUUCCAAUAAUAUCACGAGAAGUGGUAAAGAGAAUGUGGGAAUUGUAUCUCUUUUCCCCUAAUCUUCCAGCUUAGUCAAUUUCCAUUCAGGGAUGAAUGACCCCAAGAGGGAGAUAAUAUAACACCCCAAAAAUUCAAUCCAAGGAUAAAACUAUGCAUCAAGUACAUGUAGGAUUAAAUAUCAAGUUUUAACAUAAUGAGAAGGGAUUUGGCCACGUACAAAGUCUAAAAAAACCUCCUAGCCCAUAACGAAGCCAAAACAUUCCUUAUCAAUUGAUUCCUAAAGAAAUAAUCAGAUUCAAACAAGUAUAACUUACAGAUUCUAAAGAAACUCUAAGAUCAAGACCUACCAAAUGAUAUUAUAUUUGAAUUAGAAUUCCAACGUAUCUAGUUUUUCCUUAAUUCAAUAUCAGAGAGAAAAGUUAUGGUCUAUUUAGUGAAGUACUCUUGUAGUGAGAUAUCACGAACCAAACCAUGCCCGUGGUUCUGAUAUAUACAUCCCGAAAAUCUGAAAUCUUACAAAUAUACCUUCCAAUGAUAAGAGGGAACCACGAUUGUGCUUUGAACCACGAUCCUAGGCACGUGAGAUUGAACCUAAAAACCUAUGAACCAAGGUAAAAUUGUUGGUAGGCCCUAUGAUUGUUCCAAGGCUCAUCUGAUCAUGUUCAUAGAGCUCUCUCCAGAUCCAAACCAUGAGCACAAUCCAUGAUCCUACGUUGGUCCCACAAUCGUGGAAAGGUCCCAUACGUCCCUUCCAGCAGCUUUCAGUUAUGAAUUUUAAAGAGGAACAUCAGUAUUUACCUACUUAUUUAACAUCAAAACAACAUCGUAUAGGUUAUUUAAAGGAUAAUUAUUGAGAUUAAUAUUACCAUAAGCCCCCAUUACUCAUAAAAACAUCUAACACUUAGUUUCAAAUAGAGAAAAGAGGAGAUUUCUUUCCCCAAGGCAUAGCUAGGGUUCAUCUUCUUCAUGCUUUUUAAUUUUUAGGAAUUCUUCGCAAUUAUUAUUUCCAGAUUUGUGGGAUUUCAUAAAUGGGUCUCUUUUCACCCAUUGAGUCCCAAAGUUAACCCAAUUCUUUAGUUUAGUUCCUUCUUUAUAAUUUAGGAUUUAUGGAUGUUGUAAAAUUCCUUGAUAUCUCAAUCCCUUGGAGUUAUUGAGUCAUAAUACAUAUAUUAUCAUGAAUUUCAAUGUUAUUAAAUGUCCAUGAUCACAAACCUUAAUUAUAUUUUUAAAUCCAUUUGUCUGUACUUGAGUUAUUAUAUUUCAUAAAAUCACUCAGAUUAUAAAAUUGGCAUAAUAAUUGCACUCUUCAGAGAUGGUGGGUUAUGAAUAUUCUAUGAACUAGGAUUUCAUGUGUAUACUCUUGAGUAUUAUAUCCUUUCGCUUACAUGUUUUGAAUGCUUUCAGAUAAUGUACUUAUUUUCUAUCCUCGGAUUAUUAUUAUUAUUAAGUAUUGCAGUUAUUGGUCUCAUUUAGUUAGGAGUAGUACUUAGCACUAAGUAAAUACAGGGAUAAAGGCUCACCUAUCAGUUUGGAUGAUAUCUUUAGUAUAAUUUCCUCAGUUCCAAAACUAUAGUGUAGCCCUAGGUUCUAAAGGGUCACCCAUCAGACACGAUUGAUACCUUAGUCCUUUCAGAUAUAAGUUUAGUAUAUCCAUGUCAGACAGUAUUCAUACCCUUGGCAAGGUGUUGAGCACAGUUUUAGCUAAGGUUAUAGGUUGGACCACGGUUAGCUCAGAUUGGGGUAUGUCAGUUAUUAAUAGCUCCCACGGUCCACAAUUCACAAUCUAUAGUUCAGAUUUAGAUAUUUGCAUAGCUUUGUAUUUAGUUAUUCAGUUUAUUAUACAUAACAUUUUCAUUACUUGGUAUUGCAUCCAUUUAUCAUAUUACGUGCAUCAUGAUUAGCCUAUAUCAGUUAUUUCCUAUUCACAUACCCAAUAUAUUCAAAGUACUAAUUGUAUACUUUCUUUGGCGCUAUAUUGUCUUAUAAUAUAGGUUUUGAUAUCCUGAUAUCCAAUAUGACGUAAAGGGGUUGUUUUGGGAUGUCAAAAUCUGAGGGUGUUUUGCAAAAAUGGCAAAACUAAGAGAAAUCCCCAAUUUAUUCCUUGCCUACCCUACUAUAGUGGGUGGAAAGUUGUUACCCAUACAUUUAUAUAGUAGGAUUUUUCUUGCUAUAGUAGGAGUCAACUUAGGUCAAUACUAAUAUAUCGGGAGGAUUCUGCAGUAAUGAAGCCAGUAUAGCAGGUUAAGGUCACUAUAAAGGGAUAUCGCUAAUAAAUAUAGAUAAAACCCAAAAAUAUUAUUUUUUAACAACUUUAAUUUUGCGGAAAAUAGGGAAAUUUGGGGGGAAAUCUACCUGUUUUCUAUCAAAAUUUAUUGUAAAGGGUGAGUUAACCCCUUCCAUUUAUAAGAUUUUAAAUUAUAAACUCAUAAAAUCACUAGUUUGGGGAUUUUUGAAAUGGACUUGACUUGACUUAACUAACCUUCCAAGUGCAAUUUGGUGAAUUGGGUUAAAAACCUUUAGAAUUUGGUUAAAAGUUGUUAAAUACACUUUCAUAAUUAUAAUUCACCAUUUUAACCCUAAAAUUGGUAGGAUUAAGGUGGAAUGAAGAUUGAAAACCAUAGAAUGGGAAGAACAAUUAGGAAUUUGGCCAUAGGGUUUUGGUAUUAGGUAAUAAUCCUCUAUAUGGUUUGGUAAUUAGGAUUAUUAUGUGUUUUAUUAAUCUUUUAGACCACAAUCAAGCCAAGGCUGAAAUAAAAAGCAAGGCUCAAGUUUGUUAUAUCAUUGAAAGCCUUUGAUGGGGAAGGUGAUGUUUUAAUAUCAUUGAAACCAAAUUUGACUUACGUCUGCAUGUUAAUAUUCUUAUUACAAUGCAUGUUCGAAGAAAGUAAAGGGUUAAAUGAUAUCCCUAGUGUUAAUUACAUGCAAUGAGGUUACAUCAAAAUCUUGAUAUUUGUACAAGUGUGAUUGUUGUUUUUAUUAUUAUUUUGAUUUUUGUGAUAUAUGUUGAUAAUUGUUGAAUGUACUGAUAUUUGGACAUAUUCAUGGAAUUAUCUUACAUAAAGUUGGAAGAAACUAGAUGUCUAGGAUUUUGGUACAUGGACAAGAGUUUGUCACCUACAGGUCAUGGCUAGUGGGUGACUAUAAGACCCUUAACAUGUGUGUACAAGGUAUUGGUAAGUGUAAUUAUUCCUUGAGUGAACCAGGUUUAUAUGUUGAUUUAUUUGUAUUGGUUCCUUGAGUGAACCAAGUCUAUAUGUUUACUUGUUAUUGUUAUGAUUGACUUCUUGAGUGAAGUGGGAUUCAUGAUUGUUAUUGGGGAUAUUUGGAUUUUUGUUACUUUCCUACUUUUUAUUAUUGAUAGAAAACUUUGACACAUAGCUUAUUUAAUGAAGUAACUAGCUUAUUUAAAAACUUGUCUAAGUGUUAAGUUUGGUUGGUUGCACUAAUUGGUUUUCCCACUAGAGUGUUAUUGUGUGUGUCACUCAUGAUAGAUUUAGAUAGUGACAAGUUGGUAUCACAUCCCUAUGUUUGUUAAUCUCGUUGUACCAAACGUGCCUAGUAAAGUCUUACAGAAUGGUAUGGAGACGUCUAUACUUUUAUUUAAGAGGCAUAGGACUUUAGGAAAUUAUCACCUUUUUUAUUCUUUCAUGUUAUAACUUUAUUUCAAUUGGUAUUUGGUGAUCUAAAUUGGAAUCCGACUUUUUAAUUUUUUAUCUAUAGCUGGUGAAUAUUUGACCUAAUAUAGCCAGAGCGACAACCAUCGCACUAAAGGCUCAAGAUAUGAAAUCAUCUAUUUGAGAUGGAUGAAAAAGAAGGGGAAAAGGGAGAGCAACACUCGCUAGGGGUGGAUCUCUGUCAAGACCAAAAUUGUUAUCAUUGGCACCCACCAUGUACUAUGGCAAGAGAACCAUGCUUAACCCAACCCUCACGAAUCAAGUUCAAUAGUCAAAAUUUACUUUCUACCGUUCUUGUCAUUAACAAAUUCUAAAACCCAAUUAUUCAAUAAAUAAGUAAAAAGUUCUAACAAUCAUCAUCCUCAAAUCACUAAUAGAGUGUGAAAAUUCUCUAUUUAUUAUAUCCAUGGUACCUUAAGUAAUAGUGAAAGAAAAACUAAGAAUAUUCAAGUUUAUAUCUAAGAGAUUAACUAAAAUACAAAAUAAAACAAGAGAGAGUCUUAGUCCCAAAAAAGGGACCUGAACAUAAAGUUGAAGAUUCAAUGGCGGUGUAAUCAUGGUGUUCACCCUUAAAUUAAAAUGUGGAACUACUAGCUAGAGUUGAGGAGUCAUCUCAAAUUCUAGAACAUGCUCUACAAUCAACAAAAAGAAUAGCACAUGUAGCAUCAGUACAUCAACAAGUACUGGUAGGAAUAAUAUGUCGACUCAUCUUAACACCAAACAAAUAAACAAACCAAAUAAAUACAAAAAUAAUCAUCACAAAACUCAUAAUCAAUGAAAGUACAUAUUUAUGACACCACUUUUGGUAGCAUCCAGACUAAUAUUUAUUAAUAAUUACACGUUAUUAAUUUUAGCAAUAAGUUGCAUCACAACAUAUAAUUAUAACUAAUUAUUCAAUGUAUAUGAAUAAAUGUAUGAAUACAAGAUGUGCAUAUCAUCUCUUUCUUUUAUCAAUCUCAUCAAUGUCAUUCUAAACAUCAUGAACAUCAUGAUUUCAAUAUCAUCAUCAUCAUAAUCAACUCAUGAUCAUCAAUAUCAUAAACAACAUUAUGAAUAUCAUGAUUUCAAUAUCAUCAUCAUUAUGAUCAACUAAUAAUCAUCAAUAUGUAUGAAUAUGCAAAUGUAAUUGAUAAUCACAAGUACUGUUCAAAAGAAAUCAUAAAUUUCCAAUUCACAUAUAAGCACAUGGUCAAGCAAGUUUGAUUAGUAGAAUAAAUUGUAACUUACCUUAAUUCCUCUCUCAAACUUGGUCUAGGACACUAGCUUUCCUUUUCUAACUCUUUCACCUCAUUCUCGAUCUAUAACAACAAGAUUACAUAUCUAAUUUAAUCAUUCUAUCUCUUUCUAACCAUAAUGGAUCAAUAAUUAACAAUUUUAAUCAUGAAAUUACCUUAGUUCAUUAUCUUAGAAUUUUCUAUCCCUAAAACCUCAUGAACUCUACUUUAUUUAGCAUGAACAACUAUGAUUCUACUCCAAAUAGUGUUUUCUAAUGCCCUAGAAUCAUUACCAAAUUAUUUUAAACUCAUUCCCACCAAUUUGUAUUAAGUUCAUAAAUUAGGACUAAGCCCUAAUUUCCACCAUAAAUAAGAUUCUAAUGAUUUUCAAUAAUUAUAAGAAGUACUUUAAGUUUAGAAUGUAAAAAACUUAUCUUCAAUAAUGAAAACUUCUAAAAAAAAUUCCUCCCCUAGGGCCUUAGUUUAUUUGUCAGAAAGUGGGGAAUGCAACAUGUUUCUAGUUUCAAAAGCUGUCGAAACUACUUUUUUAUUGUUGUAGUGGUGUAGUUAAAAUUGUAGAGGUGAAGUUACCAUUGCAACAAUUGCAACUAAUUAUAGGCUAUCAAUGCAGUGGAACUUUUUCUAUUGUAGCGAUACCACUUUAGUGAUAUCUUUUUCUGUUGCAGCAGUCCUGUGAUAGAAUCUUGAGGCCUCUCUAUAAUUGGGUCCAUUUUACAAUAAAUCUUGUGAAAUACAAUGUUACUAACCAACUCUUACAUAAUAAACUCUGGAGUUCUAUAACUUUGUUUUAGGUGGAAGUUGUUGCAGCUUUAUAAACUUAUUAUCUAUCUAAAAAUCAAGUUAAAUACACCUACCAAUGCUCUUAACACUACCAAAUUUUAGUAGACCAGCACACCCUAAAAAAUUAUCUAAAACUAAGCUAGUCUUGGAUUUCUUAAAAGUUCUCUAAGGAAAGACUAGGCAAAAUUUAUACCUCUUAUUUAAGUGUAACAAAGAUUUGGGUCAUUACAUCAGAUACCAAUUCACCACUUGUUCAUUGCCAAAUGACAAUUAGCUUAAAAUGGCAUAGCUAAGUAAGGGAAAAAUACAUGAGUCAAUGAAAAAGUGUUGAUAUUGCUAGGAUAUAUCUGCCUCUCUCCCAAGGUGCUUCUUCAAUAGGGUGGUUCCUUCAUUGAACUUUUUACACAAAGAAUUACUCUGGUCCUCAACUUUCUCAUGUCCCUAUUCAACAUAGCAAUUGAUUUAUCUUCAUAAGAUGACUCUUUUUCAAACAAAUUAGGGUCCUAAUGAAUAAUUUAAUUACCAUCUAUGUGAUACUUCUUUAACACUGAUAGAUAGAAUACUGAGUGAACCCCAAGCAUUCUAGAAGGUACGAUCAAUUUUUAAGCUACUUAACCCACUCUCUUGAACAUAUCAAUGAGUCUAAUGUAUCUCGAACUCAACUUAUCCUUCUUUCUAAAAUGCAUAACACCCUUUAUGGGUGAACUUUCAAGAGUACCUUUCCCUCUUUUCAAACAUCAUAUCUCUCAACUUAUUAUCCACAUACUUUUUAGUUUGACUUUGAACUACUAUGAGAUUUUCCUACAUAAUCUUACAUUUUGUAUCGAUUCCUUGAGUAUGCCAGUGCCCCUGAACUCACUUAAUAUGCAUUAAACUAUCUGAUUAGAGACCUAUAUCUUCUACCAUAAAAGGCUUCAAAAAAAAGUCAUGUCAAUACUAGAGUGGUAGCUACUAUAAUAAGAAAAUUUUCACAAAGGUAGAUAUUUGUCCCAUUGACCUUUAUAGUCCAUAACACAUGCCUGAAGCGUGCCCUUAAGCUUUGAAUAGUACUUUCCAAAAGCUCAUCGGUCUGUAGAUGGAAAGUUGUGCUCAAGUCCAAUCUAGAAUAUAACUCUAACUAAAGCUUCUCUAAAUAAUUGAUGGUGAAAUGAGUACCUUAGUCUGACACAAUCAAAAUAGGUUCUAUAUGGAGCCUUAUAAUCUCCUUGACUUAAAUUUUGGCUAGCUUAGCCACAAUAUAAUCUACCCUUACUAGAAUAAAAUAAGCCAGCUCAAUCAAUCAUUUAAUAAUAAUACCUAUAGAGACAUGCUUCAUCAAGGUCUUAGGAAGACUAGACAGGGCAUCCAUGAUUAUAUAUUCCCACUUCUAUUUUAGAAUAGUAACUCUUUGAAAGGUUUCACUAGGUUUCUAAAGCUCAUACUUAAGCUGUUGACAAUUUUGACAUAUAGACACAGAAUCCUUAAUAUUAUAUUUCAUUCUUCACCAUUAAUAAUGUUGUCUCAAGUAUCUAUACAUCUUGUUUGCACCCAAGUGUUUCGAUUACAUAGAGCUGUGAGCCUCCAUAAGGAUGGCAAGAAUCAGAUAACUCACACAAGGCACACACAAUCUCCCCUGAAUCCUUAACACUCCAUUAUCAUCAAGGACAAGUUCUCUAGCUUUACUCUAUAACACUUUUUAUCUGAGGUUGCUCAACUUCUUAUGUUUGAACUAUCUUCUUUUGAUUUGGCCGAAAGGUGUAGACCUAACUUCUACAUAUGCUAAUACUUCUUGUUUACUAGUCUCAUGCAAUCUUAAAAACACAAAGACCAUACCUCUCUUUCUAAUAGAUGCAAUCGACACAUCCAACCGUGCUACACUUUUUAUGCUUACUAGCUUAUAUCACAAUGUAUCUGACACUACUUUGGACUUUCUUAGAUGAUAUAAAAUUGAGAUGUCAUAGUCCUUGGUCAACUUUGUCCACCUUAUCUAUCUAAGGUUUAAGUCUCUCUAGGUGAACACAUGUUGCAAGGUAUGGUGGUCGGUAAAUGAUUCAUAUUUCACACCAUAAAAAAAAAUGUCUCCAUAUCAUUAAUUCAAAGACCAUAGCUACCAACUCCAAGCAUGUAUGGGAUAGAUUUUCUAAUAAGGCAUUAGUUUCCUCAAAGAAUAAACAAAUACAAAUUGAUCCUUCAUUAAAAUAACACCUAAACCAAACCGUAAGAUAUCACAAUAUAUAAUAAAAUCCUUACAUUCAAUAGGCAUGGUAAGAAUUGGGGCUGAGGUUAGAAAAUCCUUAAUCUUUCGGAAGCUCUCCUCAUGCUUGUCAUCCCACACAAAUGUGUCUUUUUUUCAGGCAGAUCAUAUGUGAAGUAAUAUCAGUAAACCCCUUAAAAAUCUACAAUAAUAAUUGGCCAACCCCAUAAAACUAUGAAUUUCUAUCACAUUCAUUGACCUAUCCCAACUCUUGAUCACUUCCACCUUGUGUGGGCCUACCAUAACCCUAUCCUUAGAGUAAGCUAGUAUGUCAGCAAUAAAAAUUAUAGCAAAUGAAUACAAGAGUAACUUAAAGACCACAUCCAUCAGACUCAUAAAAGUAGUUGGGCAUUGGUCAUACCAAAAAACAUGACUAGAAACUCGCAUUACACAUAAAAAUAUUUGAAAAAAAGUAUUUUGGAUGUCCUCUACCCUAAGCUUGAGCUGAUGAUAACCUAACCUCGAUCCAUUUUAGAGAAAAUUAUAGCUCUCUACAACUAGUUGAAUAGGUCAUCUAUUCUAGGCAAAGGAUAUUUAUUGUAAAUAGCUACUUAGUCUAUACACAUCAUUAUACUACCAUCAUUCUUUCUCACAAACAAGAUGGGGCAACCCUAAAGGAAAAUAUUUAGGGGAAUAAAUCCCUUCUCUAAUAAUUCUUAUAAUUGAGAUUUCAACUUUCUCAACUUUGUUGGUGCCAUAUGAUAAGAAAGGUUAGAGAUGGGUAAAUUCCAGGAUUUAAAUCUAUAUAGAAAUCAAUCUUACAAUUUUGACGCAUACCAAUAAAGCCAUCACGAAAUACUUUUAAGAAUUUACACACAAUUUAGAUUGAGGCAAUAGAAGGAACUACAAAUUUAUCUUCCCAAAGAUGAUCUAAAAAUGCCCUACACCCCUUAUUUAUUUAUUCUUGGGCAUGAAUAGCUGACAUAAUCCAUAUAGGAGUAGGUUUAAAGUACUUUCCCACUGUAAUUUCUCUAUCCCAUACUUUUUAUAGUGAUGGUUUUAGCAUAAACAUCAAGAAUGGCACGAUAAGAAUAUAACCAGCUCAUCUCUAAGAUAAUAGAAACUUCUCCUUAUCUAAAAUUAAAAGGUUUCUAAAGUUUUGUACCUCAUAAACAUCAUAGGGAAAGACUUAUAAACCUAAUCAGAACAUAUAAACACCCCAACUGGUGUAGAUAUAUACAUAAGAGUAUCAAGUGAUUCAUAAUCUAAGUCCGAAUCCAAAUAAAACUUCACAAACACAUAGGAGAAAGUCGACCCAAGAUCAAAUAAUACAAAAUCCAUAUGAUCACUAACAAGAAUAGUAUCUAUGAUCACCCUAAAUCAAAAGCUUCCACUUCAAGAUGAGCCAAAACAACAUAAAGUUAUGCUCUAUCACUGCCCAGGCCACCACCUCAACUAGCCUGAGCACCAUUCCUNNNNNNNNNNNNNNNNNNNUGACCUAUCCUCUACCAUUGUUGGAUUGGUUGCCACCCCUUCCUACAAACUAGCCACUAUACACACCUUGGUGAUUACCUUUACUAUCUCUUACACUACCAUGACCUACUGUAACUAGAGCACUAGAAGUUAUUUGUUGUCCACUAACCUAUAGACAAGAAAUUAGGGUAAUACCUACAAUGUGGCCUAAAACGCCAUACUCAUUCACCUAAUGCCCAAUGCAGGUAUCUAAGUUAAAGAGGAUAAAAGUGUAUAGCUGCCUAUUUGUGAAGGCUGAUAACUGACCCUUAAUGGGCCCUAUACGGACACAUGUAUUGCUGAAUUAUAAGACCAAGAAGAACCAGGACCUUUCCAAAAAGUACCAUUGAUUUGGCUUGUGGUCUGGGACUUCUUCUUCUCUUCUACUUUUGUUUCUCUCUGUCGUGAUAGUACCUCAGCCUUGUUAGUAAACUCAACUUUCUCCUAAAAAUAUUUACUAGAUGCAACCAAAAAUAAAAUAAAUAUCUAAUUCCCAAAAUUCAUACCAUUCAAAAAGUACCUCAUCCGCUCCUCUAAAGUGAUUAAAUAAAGUGCAUAAUAGGAUAAGGCAUAAAAUUUGGCCUCAUAGGCCACCACAUACAUGUCACCUUUUUCUAACCUCAAGAACUCAUCUUUUUUCUUAACAUGAUAAGCAUGAAAACAUGCUUCUCAAGAAAAGCAUUCUAAAAUUAUUCCUAAGUUAGUGGAGGUGAGGCAACCCUACACUCAAUGAAUGACCUCCAACAUUGUUUGUCUUAAGGCUAUAGUUGAAAAAAACAAACUCCACACCAUAUCUUUUAUCAAUACCCAUAUUAUGCAAGCAUUUAUGACAAUCCAAAAAACAUUUAAUAGCAUUCUCAAAUUUUAUACCUUGAAAUACUAAGGGCUUCAUGUUUAUGAACUUACAGAAAAGUCUAUGUUCAUCAUUAGUAAUCACCGAUCUAACUACCAGUCAGGGAUAUGCCCCUUUAUUUGAGCUCACAUCCAUCCUAGAUACAACAACAAUUGCAUGUUGUAAGGCUGGGGAUGGGAAUACUGGAAUAAAUGAAGUAGCAUCAAUGCUAUCCAAACUGCCUAAGUAUCCCAACACUUGUUGCAUUAAUCCUACAAAGGUACCUAGGUUGUACCAUAUUUUAUAGGAACUAUCUUUUCAAGGACCACUACUUCAUCCUUAGUUGCCACAUUUUCAUCCUGAACUAACUCCAGAGCAUCUUAUGGUGGGGAAGGGGAGAGGGUCAUUAUCCUAGCCGGUUCUCCAACUGGCCAUGCUUCAUCCAUAGUAGGUGUUACCCAUCUUUCUUAUUUUCUAUCCCUACCCAUCACGUGCAUUCUUCCUUGAACUAUAGCCUUAACAGCUUGUAUAGGUGCUACUACUUCUCUAAAUGAAUAUGUAUUCACUAUCAGUGGAACAAGAAUGGAGGAUUUAUAUACCAAUUUGGAUCACUAGAUACCAAAUAGAAUCAUGUAAUAGCGUGAAAUAAAAAAAUGAAAUUUUCUUUCCUAAAGCCUUGUAGCCUCUUAAAGAAAAGUACAGAUCUCUCCAUACCAUUAUAUAAGACUCUACUAGACCUAUUAUUGUACGAAGAUAUCUAUGAACUAAGUGCUUUGAUACUAUCUUUAUCAUGACCCAAACGAUCAUAAUUGUUACCCACAUACACAAUGGCAGGAGAACCAUGCCCAAUCAUCACUAAUCAAGUUCAAUAUUCAAUAUUCACUUUCUAUCAUUCUUCUCAUUAAUAAAUUCUAAAACCCUAUUAUUCGAUAAAUAAGUAAAAACUACAAACCAAGAAUGUUCAUGUCCCUCUCAUUGAUUAUUGUAAUACUUGGUUGUUAUUAUUUGUCAUGACCCAAACGAGGAACAAGCCAUGAUGGGUAUCUCAAGUCCAUCAAGGACUGGAUACUACCUCCUUUACCCUAGCCUACCAGAACAUAACACAACUAGCAGCAGAUGAAUUCCGAAUAUGUAACAAAAAAGGUAACUCAAUUAACUCAAACAAGAAUCUAAGAUUUUCAACAACAUCCCAAUCCACAGUAAUCCACAAGCCUCUAAGAAACCAACAUCAAUCUAAGUCAGGACAUGCCCCUGACUAUAGCCAAGAAGAAACAGAAUCAUAGUUUAUAAUAUAGUGAAACCAAAACAUGAAAUAAGAUUCUUUCAAAGAAUGGAGGCUUACCACUUCAAGUUGAUUCACGAUCGAUCCAUAAAUCACCAUAUCACUAUGCAAAAAAAUCAAAAGUAUCUCUAGUUCCUACAUCACGUGGGGAUAUAAUAUUCAUAGAUGGUUAGCAGGGUGAGCACUAGCAUGUAACUCAGGUAAGAGAUAAAAUAAUGGCAUGAUAAAAUUAGUUCAACAUCAUUCAAAACUAAUACACGCAAUCAUAUACCUAUGUAUAACAUGCCGAGAUAGAGAACAAAGUUUAGCAUAAAAGUAAGACAUUAGCCUGGACUAUGUAGCUCAAACUUUCAUUCAUACCCACUGGCUAAAUGGGUCUAGUACCCCCUACUAGUUGUUUCUAGCUCCUUCCCUGUUGGUUGAGCCCCAGUGCCUAUUAGCCACAUAAGCCAGAGAAACCUAAGGAAUAGUCAAAGCCAUCAACGCUACAAUCAUUCCAAAUUGUAUACAUGUAUGUAAUGUGUGAACUAUGCACACGGUCAUAAAUACCACCCCCCCACACUGGUAAAUAUGGUUUCCAAUAUCAAUCCCUUGGUACCUCCACCUUCAUGGAUCAGGUACACAACUCCUUUUAAGACCAAUUAUAAUAUUUACACAUUCCCAUUUAUUAAAUUAAGGAUCAUUCAUUUAGGCACAUACCAUUGGUAUCGUAAUACCAAUUGCACUUUCAAGCUUAUAAUUAUGCCAUAGCAAUUCCAUCAACUUAGGGGAAUGCUAGAAUCCCCUUUAUUCAUUAAAGUCAUGGCUCCCUUUGUUCAUUAAAUCAAGUUUAAAAUCAAAAGCAUAGCUAACAAGGCCUUCAAACCCCUUUAUAUCUGAUUAACCAUUUAUGCAAUACCAUAGUUUAGGGAAGUAAGACAAAUCAUAUGAUUAACCAUGUUUCAAAUUCAAUUAUGUAAGUGGGUUGAGGGAACAUAAUUUCUAAAACUAAGUUCCAAACCAAAAUCAUCAAAUUGGGGGAAUGACUUGACCCCCUCUCCAAUUUCUAUACCCAUAAACCCAAUUAGUUCAAAAACCAUUGAUAAAGCACAAACAAUGCAUAUAAAAUCAUGGGAAUUCAAUUCAAGUAACAUUCAUUCCAAAAACCUCAACCCAUAUCAAAAUCUAUAUUCAAAUCCACAUGAAUAACCAUUUAAACACAUGAUUUAAGUAAAAUAAGUUUAAGGAAAGAGUACAUGCCUUAGAUAAUCAAGAAUUAUGGAGAGAAAUCAAUGAUAGAAGCUUUAAUGGCCAACCCUUAAAAACUUGAGCUUAUUCUUGCUUGAAGAGUUAAAGACAGAUUGAGAAGUAUAUUUUGAUCUAUUCUGAUGUGAUAAUAAGACACCAAAUAAGUUUUAAAUCAUGUUUCAUAAUUGGGAAAGAGGGGAAAUUCCAAAGUGCCCCUUAAUAAAACACUAAAGACUCAUUGCCCAAUCAUUAUGGGUCACCUUACGACUCGUAAUAAAAAAUUAUGAGUCAUUCCCUAGACUUGUAGUCAGGGUAGUGUCCCAAGGCAACACUACACUGGUGAGACUAUGAGUCCUAUAUUAUGACUCAUAAUAUCUGACCAUGACUCGUAAUGUCUUAAUUGUACCCGAGAUAAAAAAAAAUUUAGUGCCUACACUGGUCACCUUAUCAUUUGUACAUUACAACUCUAUGGAGUUAUCACGACUCAUUUUAUCCCAGUCGUACCUAUAAUAGAACCAAGAGCACCCUUCACUGGUCACCCUACCACUUGAGCCCUACAAUCUAUAAAGAAACCUUAUGAAUCAUUAGGGAAGCCGUAGUCUGAGCAAUAGGAUCAAAUCUCAAAAUUUUUAAAGGUCAAAAUUUUAGGUUGUUACAUGUUCCUGAGUGAUAGAGGUAUAUUGGGUUGGUAAUAUGACUUGUAAGCUAGUUGUAAGUUAAAUGAGUAUAGCUUGUCUAUGGGUGAUAACUAAAAUCUUAUUGGUUAUGAAUGAUUAAUGUUGAGUGCAUCAUAGAAUAUAUUAAGAGGUGGUAGAGAAGCUAUCUAUUAAUUAUAUCGAGAGUGAUGUAUUGGUUAGUUGUUGUACUAUAGAUGAUCUAUUCUUAUGUGUUGAUCAUGAAAGGGUGAAAAGGGUCACAAGGUAGACAUCUCAAGGGGGAAACAUAGUGUAGUACUUGUUGAUUUUAUAUUCAUUAUAUCAUUGUUUAGGGUGUACUUUCUUGGGUUAAGAUUUUUCUCUGUGUGGGAGUUAGAAGUUUUAGCUUAGACUAGUCUUAGACAAAAUCUUAGUGAGGUAUGGUCUAGAAAAAUCUGGGAGAAUAUUGGGUAGAUAUAAUGAAGUUUAGCUUGAUUUUAUGUUAGCUAAUAUGAUAAGGAACCCAUAGGAAUUGUUGGAAUAGAGUUUGGGUCUGUAGAACUCUAGAUAUAGAGUUUAAUGUAACGGGCUUAGUUUGAGAUGUCAGAAAUCUGAGUAUUGAGCUGUGAAAAAUGAAAGACUGGGAAGAUUACCAAGUUUUUACCUUUGCUAUAGCAGAAUAAUUCCCUCUAUAGUGAUGUCGCUAUAGCUAUAUUGGGCUUCUAUAGAGGGAUUGAUGUAGUAAUUAUUUAGCUUUCUCUGACUUUAGACAUUACUUCGUCAUAAACUCUCAAGGUUUCAUUCUUAGACUGAUGAGGUAAAUAACAAUUCAUUUUUCUAUUCAUACAAUGACUAUUUGGGGAUAAACUGAUAGUAAAUUAAUAUCUAAUAUAACAAUUGGUUUCGUUAUUAUUAAAAAUAUCUGCGACAAAGGUAUACAAAACUCAUUCAUCAUAUGUGUUAGGAUCAAUUAUUUUGUAUUAGAGCUCAUUUGAUAUAUACUGAAGUCAUAAAAUACCCCUAUCACAAAGUUAAGUUGAAAGUAUCCUUGUUGAUUUAGUUACGUGUUAAGUUUAAACUAGAAUCAAAAUCAAACAAGAACUCCUAGAAUAUAUGGAAUUAGGGGUCCUAAUAUCAUACAUAUUAAAGAUCUCUAAGUAUUAUUGAUAAUACAACCAACUUCUUAUCAAUCCGCUUCCUAUGUAAAAGGUUAUGACCAUUUUACUGAAGACUACCCAUACUGAAAAAUCUUAGAGCGCUAUAGCAGGUCGGGUUACUAUAGCGACGGCAUAUCACUAUAGCGACACUAAAGUAGUUUAUAACCUAUUUUGACAAUUUUAGCCCCUAAAACCCAAAAUUACAUUCCUAAUCCCUAGAGAGGUAAUUUUCUUUUUGUACGAGUGAUAUUUCUUUGUUGAGUUAAGUUUUUUUCAUCAUCUUUUUCAUUUUUUGAUAUUUUAACAUCCAAGAAUCAUUAGAACAACCUUUAAUGGUGAAAUUCUAGGGAAAUUGAACCCUAAGUCCAUGAUAUUUUGGGAAAAUAAUGGGUUGAGUUAUCAUCACCUAGAAUCACUUCUAAAUUGUUAAUUAACAAUUCCUAGCAUGAAUUAGUGAUUCUAAAAUAUGAAAAUUGAUAGUUGGGGACCUCGAAUUCAAUAAAAGUAGAACCUUUAGCAUAUAACCUCUAUUAAUGGAGUUGGGUUGAGCUUGAAGGAAUUAUUUUAAUGAUUAAUUAACCCUUAGGUAAUUUUAUAGACCAUAAAUAAGGGUAGAACUAGUGAGUUUUUAUUCCAAAGUAUUCAUAUAAAGAGCAGUUUAUUAAUUACUCUUAUAAUUGUUGUUUGUUAGAUUAUUAGCACUCGAAAAAAAUGAAGAAGAAGGAGGUUCAUUUGUGUUAUAGCUACUUGUUGCAGUAGCUUGGCACCUAGGUAGGUUAUGGUUUAUAAAUAGUGACUGUGGUUAGUAAUCAUGUCCAAAUAUAGAUUUGAAGAGGGAAAUCAUGCUUAGUCUAUUAAGGAUUUAUACAUUAACAUAUCAGCAACUAAUUAGGUCCUUAUUAAGAAUAAAAUAUUAAUUUAAUGUAAUAAGGACCUAAUUAGUUGUUGAUAUGUUAAUGUAUAAAUCCUUAAUAGACUUUUUGUGUUUGUGUAACUCAAUGGUGGAUCAUAAUAUGAAUUAUGUGAAUAUUGUUGUCAAUAAGAUGGUGUGAGAUCAUAAUUAAGUUAUUUAGCCUAAUCACCAUAAGAAGGUGAACUUGGUAUUAUGUGUGGUUGGAAUAUGGGAUAAUGUUUCUUAAGGUUAUUGACAAGGACUGAUUAUGGUAUAAGGAGGUAGUAACUUAACUUAAGGGCCUAAGGUCAAGUUAGGCUAAGAGUUAGGAAGUAAAAGGUAUAAAAGUGUAAGACAAAGAUAUAUUAUAAGUUGAAUAGAGUUGAAUGAUUAGCUAAUAGAGUAGGUCUUAAACCUUGUAACCACUUGAAUGUAAGGGUUGCUAACUAAUAACAAAAUCCUAAUUUUGGAAUGAAUAAAGGGGGAUUGGAUUAAUGAAUGACUUAUAAGAUUUUAGAGUCCAUUUUGUUGAAUGUGUGCUCCAAAAAUAACUUAUUGAUUUUAAUGAAUUUGGCUUGAUAAUUCUUACGUGAAUAAGCUAGGUAUUGGUCUUCAAACAUGCUAUAACUGAUGAAACCAAGGAUUAUAUAUACUUGUGAUUUAGUAUGUUAAAGUAUGAUUGUUGUUUACAUGUAUUGAUUAACUCAAGUUGACCAAGCAUAUAGGUAGUUAUCCAUUAUUGUAAUGAAUACUUAAGGACUGAAAUUGAUAAUGACAUCCUAAGUAUUAAUCACAUAUAUAAUGACGUUGUAUUAAUAUCUUUUUGAUUGUAUAAGUAUGAUUGCUUAUUCUCAUUUUGGUUGUGAUUGUUGUAAUAUCAUUUAAUAUUGUGGGAUGUUCCAGAAUUUGGACAUCUUCACAGGAGUGGUUGAUAUGCACAUUAGUUUUCUCGAGUACCAUGCUGGUAUAGUACAUGGAAAAGAGCUCAUUCCCUGUAGAUCAUGACUAGCGGGAAACCAUAAGACCCUUAGCAUGUAUGCACAAGGUAUGUAUGAGUGUGAUGGUUCCUUGACUGGAUGGGUAUACGAUUAUUAUUAUUAUUAUUGUUGUUGUUGUUGUUUAUAUUAGUUCCAUGAGUGCACCAAGUUAUAUUGUGGUUGUUGUUGUGGGUUUUUUAUGUGACUAGAUUAUGAUGUCGCUUGAUAUAUUUGGAAUUCUUUUGUGGUCGAGUUACUUGUCAUAUAUUUUUGGAUACUUGUUGGUAGAUUCAUGGUGUGUUGACUUAGUAUGGAUAGAGUCAUGGUUUGUUGUCUUUGAUAUUGUUAGAGUCGAGGUUGUUGAGUUGGUCAUGGUUUGACUUGACUUGUUGUCACUUGAUUUGUACUUGACUAAAGUUGUAGAGUUACUUGAAAAGGCUAAGUCUCAUAAAUUUAAGGUAUUUAUCAUAAUGUGUGUUCAUAGUUUUAUUUUUUACAAGGCGAUGAUUAUUAAUCAUAUACCUUGAUAAAUAAUUAUUUGGAUCAAACCCGUGAGAGUUAGGAUGGAUGACACUUGAUGUGAAGGUGAUAAAUGAUCAACGGGAAUAAGAAUGGAAAUACUCUUUGUUAAAAAAGUGAUAAGGAUAUCAUAAAUAGUUGAAGAUGUUACGAAUUAAUUGAUAUAUAAGUUAUCAUGUUUUCUAUGAUUCGUGUAUUGUCUUUACAUUAUCUAACCAUUGUCGACCGAUGAUACUUUCCAAUACGUGUUAUUUAUUUUAAUAUUACAUUUGCUAUAGCCUUUUUGGGGUAUACUAUUUUGUAGGAAUCAGUGUUGGUUUCAUGAGUAGAUAGUGAUCCUUCAACAGCUUCUACUCCUCUCAUUUAUGGUGGAAGAUUGUGUUCAAUUUUAUCGUUCUUGAUUUAGAAGCUCUUGUACAUAUUUAGACUACUUUCUAGUUGUAUUUUACAUUUUUACACCUAAUAUUUGUAAUAAAACAGUUGUAAUAAAGUUUUGUUAUUUCUAUUUAAUAAAGGCUUCUGCAUGUUAUAUUGAACAGGUGAUAAGGGGUUCUCCUAUCUAGGUGGAUUAGAGAAGGUGCCCUUAUGAUCCAAUAGUUUGGGUUGUGACAUGACCAAUGUGUACUAUGUUUGUUCUAUCUUAUAUGUUUCCAGAAUUGGGUAAAUUUCAUAAUCAUAGAUAUGCUUGAUUUUGAUAGCACUCUUGUAUGUCUUGGCUAUCUCUAUAUUAUGUUUUUCAAAAUUAUUAUGCUAAGACUGUGACUUUAGAGAUGCCAAGGAUAGAAAAGUUAGAUUGUGAGAGUGUGCAUAACCCAAAAACUAUGAAAGUCUUUUAUUCAGGUUAAGAAGAUAGUUGGGAAAGAGUGUUCGACCAUGCUAUCACAUCACUGAGAUGUUAGUACAAAAUAUUUUUCUCAGUUCUUGUGGUAUCAAAUAGAUGAUCUUUUUAAGCAGUUAUAGGGUGCUUUAGUUUCUCUAAGGUAGACUGUGGACGGGUUACCACCACUUAAAUAUUCAGACUGAGGACAUACCCAAUACACUAUUUAGGACUUGGUAUGGGCAUUACAAGUUCUUUUUCAUGUCAUUUAGCUUGAAUAAUGUGAUAAAACUUUCAUGAGCGUGAUGAUGUUAUCUUUGAGUGUCUCUUUGAUUCAUUAGUGAUUGUUUUUAUUGAUGAUAUUUUGGUUUACUACAAGAGUAAAGGGUAACAUGCAGGUCAUCUUUGCAUUAUUUUGGAGAUUUUAAAGAAGAAAUAGUUAAAUGAUAAGUUCUCUAAAUGCGAAUUUUUGAUAUCUUUUGUUGCUUUUUUGGGGCAUGUUAUAUUAGAAAAGGGGGUGAUGGUAGAUCCCCAAAAGUUAGUUACUCAUGGGUCUUAUCAAGAAUUUCAUAGGCUUAUCAAGAAUUUCAUAUCCAUUCCUACUCAUUUGAUAAGGAUGACUUAGAAUAAGGUGUCAUUCAUAUGGUUAGAUAAGUGUAAGGAAAGUUUUCAAAAGUUCAAGCCUCAAUUGACUACAUCCCAUAUUCUUUCCUUGCAAUUAAAGGUAAGGACUUUAUUGUGUUUUGCAAUACUUCAUGCUCUAAUUUGGUAUUGUGUUGAUGUAGGACGUGAAUAUGAUUGACUAUGAUUCCAUGCAACUAAAGUCUCAUGAGAAGAAUUAUCCAACCCAUGACUUAGAGUUGGCAUCAGUGGUUUUUGCACUUAAUAUUUGGAGACACAACCUUUAUGGUGUCAAAUGUGAGGUGUUUAUAGAUCAUCACAGCUUUCAACAAAUUGUUACCUAGAGUAUUUGAACUUGAGGCAGAGAAGGAGGAUGGAAUUGUUGAUGGAUUAUGAUUUGACCAUUCAAUUCCAUCCUUGCAAGGCCAAUAUGGUGGCUGACGCAUUGACUUGGAAAUUAGUAUGUAUAGGUAGUCUGGAUUAUUUAAGGGUGUUAAGGUGACCAUUGUCUAAAGAGAUUAAAACUAUAGGAUCACAUUUCUUUCAGUUUAGUUUUUCUAAAUACGGUGGAGUAUUGGCUUGUUUUGAUGUAAGGUCAAUGUUCCUUGAUCAAAUCAAUGCCAAGCAGUUUGAAGAUGUGAAUUUGAAUAAAGUUUGGAACAAUGUGGUGUGUGGUGAAAAUUCUAAUACUGCACUUAAUGUGUAUAAGGUAUUGAUGGUAAAAGAAUGCAUAUGCAAACCUUAGGAUGGUGAUCUAAUUUAGGGUUUGCUUGUAGAAGCUCAUGGUUUUUACUACUCUAUUCAUCCGGGUACAGUCAAGAUAUACUGUCACUUGAGACAUCUCUAUUUGUAGCCCGAGAUGAAGAGAUAUAGUAAUGUAACGACCCAAAAUUGCCUCCCGGGACGUCACACGGAGCUUAAGGCUACAAGUAGCCCUAAGCAAACCCUUUGAGCCUGCUUCUACUAAUAAUACUCAUUUCAAGAUAAAAUCAUUCAAACACUAGCACGGUCAUAUCAUAUGAAGGGAGAUACGGAGAAAAUACUCGGUCCAAAUGACCACAAUACUGGAAUUCUCAACACAAUCACAAUCUGACAACUAGUCUGACAAAGCCUCUACUAAUCCAUGAACUAGAGAGUCGUUAGGACAGUCCCCCAACUGACUCGAAAUGAACUGAAAGUAAUAACAUAGUCUCUCAAAUGCUGAAAUGUCUGACGAUAGGUCCUCGAAGCAUGACGACUCACCACUGUAGGAAUGUAGACAGAGGUACUCGGAAGUCACUGACGAGGCUGGGACUGAGCACCUGAACCUAUAUUAUAAGACAAUGUAGCACAUAGACGUAUAUGUGGAUCAGCACUUGGGAUUAUACUGAGUAUGUGGGGGUACAUGCAUUUAUAUAAAACAACAUCAAUACUCUUUAAUCAAAUCAUGCAUGCAAUAAGUAAUGACUCACAUGGAUUGAAUAAACAUAAAAUGUAAAGCUCAUGAAUUAUGUAGAAUGGUCCAUGUAAUACAAAUCUCGUGAGUCAUCAUAGUUUAACUUUGAAAUCGGUAAUCUUCUCUUAUUCUCAUUACCCAUAGGCUAAAGGAAACUUUAAACAAUACUUUCAACUCAUUGAUAUGUCUCAUGGAGAGUAAAACUUCCUUAAUGCUCAAGAACUCAAGAACUUAUAACUCUUUUGAACUCAAGUACUUGGAAUUCAGAAUCAUAUAACUUUGAAACAUACUUGAAGGCAUUUCAUUCACUUUAGGAAAAUAUCUCACUUCAAGCUUUAGGGAAAUCAUUCUAUCUUAAUGGAAAGAUUUUCUAGUUUAGAGAAAUAACUUAUCUCAUAGUUUUAGAGAAAAUACUUAUAUCAAGGGAAAAUACUUUAGUCUUAGGGUGAAAAUCUUCAACUUUACUAUUAGGAAAAUAACUUGUAUCAAGGGAGGUUCUCAUAACUGACAUAAACCAUGAGAGCUAUAUAGAGUACAACAUUUUGUCCGCUUACGAAAAAGACCCCACGUUGGGGAGGAGCGUCAUACUCUUGCCAGGGAGUAUAACCUCAAUUCAGUGAUCAUUUAUCUCAACCUCGGGCCCAAUAUCUCAGCCUUAGGCCAAAAAUCUCAAACCUACAGUGGCACGUAGUUCUGGGGUAAGAAACUGUAGUAACUUACACAACUCGGUGCUAAAUACUACUCCCUUUAGUUUAUCUCGCUCAUCUUAUGAAAAUCCACUUUAAAAUAGUCUCAUGGUUCAUCAAGAACCCAACAAUCAAAUCUGUAAUCUCAUAUAGUGAAGUGAAUUUCAAAACUCCAUUACCAUUAGGUCAAAACAUUUCUCAAUAAUCUCAGAAUACUCAAAGCAUGGGUGUUUAUAAAACAAGAGUUCAUAAAAUUGCAAAUCUCAAGUAGGGCUCAAUAACCCAUAAUUCAGUCUCAAGUUAAAACUCAUCAAAAGCAUAAUAGAUAGCAUCUACAUUCAUAACUCAUGUAGAAAUCUGGAAAUUUCUGCAAUUUGUCUCAAAAUCUCAACAUACUCAUAUACUUCAGUAUCUAAAUAUUUCAACUAUUAAUUUCUCAAGGAUUAAAAUCAUGAGGUAUAGACCCAUCUGCAAUUUCUCAAGAAAACAUGUAAAAAUCAUGCCAUUAGACUCUAAAUUCAUGGGAAACAUCAAAAUAUUGCAAUCAAUAAAAAUGGAUGAAAACCCCUAAUUCAAAUUCAUGUAAAAUCUCAUAGAUUACAGAAAAUCAUAGUUUAAAUAAGCCUUUGAGCACAAGGAUGAAAGGAUUACCAUUGUUCAAAACCCCACAUACCUUUGAUUAUGAAAUUGGAUGAACGAGCUUGCUCUAAACUCUUCUUCUUACUCUUGAGAGAGAGAGUUCUUGAACCCUUUGAACUUGGGGAACUUAAUUUGUAGAAUCCAUGAUGAGUUCUUAGAUUUCUUGGAGAAGGGUUUUAGAUUUGCUCUUGAGGGAGAAACCCUAGCCUUUGGAUGUUUUGGGAGAUAAUGAGGCUAUCAAGUUCGUUUGGAAUAUAUCUGAGGGUUAAAAAGGAAAAGAAUCAAAACCCCUUUUAAAAAGGACUUAUAAACACGGAAGGGUGUUGCGACGGUCGAAGUGAUGGUCCGUCGCUAACCUGACGGUCCGUCGGGUCGUCCAUCGCUCGCUGGUCAAAAAAAGAACAUACUGCCUCAAUGUGACGAUCGAAGCGACGGUCCGUCGCUCAACUUGAUGGUCCAUCAGAUCGUCCAACGCACAUUGCCAAGAUGAGGUCACACUGCCUGAGCGCGACGGUCCCAGCGACGGCCCAUCACAACCUUGAUGGCCGGUCAUUUUGCCUGUCACACUUUAGCCAAAAAAGAGAGUCAUUUCCUUGGUUGUCGCAGACUCAACGGUCCAUCAGAUCGUCCGUUGCACCCGGGCGGUUCCAACAACUCUUAGUAAAACGGCCAUAACUUCUCACCCCGAUGUCGGAUUUGGACGAAAUUGGUUUCGUUGGAAAGCUAAUUCAAUUCUCUACAUGACAAAAAGUUAAAUUUAAGAAAAUUAUAUAUGGUUUAAACACAAAUCACUUGGGAAGUCACUUUUCAAUCUUUUAGGGCUAGAAUUACACAUCGCCUGACAUGCUCUAAGGCUCAGACUACGAGGAAACUUUGCAGGGUCUUACAAUAUCUCCCCCUUGGAAACAUUCAUCCUCAAAUAUUUCUAGUUAUAAUAGGAACAUGGGAAAACAGAGUUCACAUAGCUAAAGCAAGUUGCUAAAACGGGUUCAAAAUCUCUCUAAACUCUAGAAUGCCUAAGAAAUUGCAAGAACUCAUGCAAGAACAGAUACAUAUAGCUGAACUUUAGAUUAGAAGGGAUGAAUUAAGGAAGAAUAAUACCUUCAUAUUGACUAAACUCGCUAAAAAGAGGUGCGGGUACUUGACUCGCAUGUCUACUUCUGCCUCCCAAGUAGCGCCCUCAACUGACUGGUUCUGCCACAAAACUUUGACUAAGGAAACCUCUUUGUUCCUCAAUCUACGGAUCUGAAAAUCUAGGAUCUCAAUAGGAAUCUCAUCAAAUGAAAGAAUAUUUUGAAUAUCAGCACUCUCUGAGGAAUUUACAAUAACAGAAUAACAAAUAUGCUUUUUAAGCAUGGAGACAUGAAAACAGGAUAAAUAGCUGAUAACUCUGCGGGAAACUCAACCUCAUAGGCUACUUUCCCAACAUGGCUCAAAAUUCUAUACGGGCUAACAUAACGGGGACUAAACUUUCCCUUUUUACCAUACCUCUUCACCCCUUUCAUGGGUGAAAUCUUCAAGUACACUAAAUCGCCUACUUCAAACUCAAGAUCUCUUCUCCUCACAUCGGCAUAUGAAUUUUGAUGACUCUGAGCUGUCUUUAACCUCUCUUUAAUCAACUUAACUUUCUCCAUAGCUUUAAAUAUUACAUCAGGCCCAAUCACGGUAGCUUCACCUACUUCAAACCAACUUAUGGGUGAUCUUCAUCUCCUACUAUACAAGGCCUCAAAUGGUGCCAUCCCGAUGCUAGCAUGGUAACUACUAUUAUAGGUGAACUCUAUCAAUGGCAAAUGCUCAUCCCAACUACCUUUGAAAUCAAGAGCACACACUCUCAACAUAUCUUCUCUAGUUUGAAUGGUCCUUUCAGCCUGUCCAUCUGUCUACGGAUAAAAAGCAAAACUCAAAAGAACUUGGGUACCAAGACCCUGCUGAAACGCCUCCAAAACUUAGAAUUAAAUUGAGUGCCCCUAUCCGAAAUGAUGGAUGAGGGAACUCUAUGCAGCCUGACUAACUCCCGGAUAUACAAUCUAGUAUAAUACUUAGUUGUAUAAGAUAUGUGCAUGGGAAAGAAAUGUGCAGACUUAGUCAGCCUAUCCACAACAACCCAAAUAGAAUCAUAAUGACGAUGCAAAAGAGGUAACCCAGUCACGAAGUCCAUAUUCACCACCUCCCACUUCUAAGUGGGUAUACCAAACUCUUGUAUCACACCACCAGGUCUUUGGUACUCAACCUUAACAUGUUGGCACGUUACACAAUUUACUACAAACUCGGCUAUAUCCUUCUUCAUACCAUUCCAUCAAUAGAUCUCCCGCAAGUUGCGGUAUAUCUUGGUAACACCGGGAUGAAUAGAAAUCGUGCACCAUGCACUUUAGCCAUAAUUCUCUACCUCAGAUCAUCAACACAAGAAACGCACAAUCUACCCUGCAAUCUCAACAUGCCAUCUCCCCCUUUGGUCCUUAACUGACUCCUUCAGUCUGACCAAACUAGGUUCUCUGUCUUGCAUCUCCUCCACUUCCGAAACUAAAGAGGAUUCAGAACUACUCUACACCAAAGUACUUCCCUCAGCUGGAUCAAGAAACCUAACACCCAAUCUAGCCAAAUAAUGCACAUCACGAGCUAACUCUUUCUUACCUUCCUCUAUAUGAGCAACAUGACCCAUAGACAAUCUCUAACUUUGUGGCCCUACUUGCCACAACCAAGACAGCCCCUCAAAUCUACAAAACAUUCACCAGGAUGGUCCCUACAACACUUAGCACAAGAAAGAUAAUGAGGCCUGUUACCAAUACUAUUCUAUGACCUAGACAUAAAAUACCUUCCCCCUUGCUCAUGCCUACCUCUAGGUGUGGGCACUAGCUGAUGAAGGCACUGGCAUAGACGGAUGUCUCUGAAACUAAGGGUGGUUCCCUCCAUGGAACCUAGGCUGGCUAAACUUAUGCUGCUCAGAUAUAGCCCUCUCGUUACCCCUCACUCUAUCUCUCUCUCUAAUUUUAUCCACCUCUAUCUACUGGGCAUGCCUCAUAAACCUAGCCAGAUCCAUAUCCCUAUGCAGUAUCGCAGUACUACACUCUUCAGUACCAACCCAGAAACACCGGUCACAAACUUACUCAUACUAGCCCAGGUGUCAGAAAUCAAAUCAGGAGAAUACUUGGCCAACUGGUUAAACUUCAAGAAGUACUCUUUAACAAUCAUAGAACCCUACCUUAAGUUUAUAAACUCCCCAAUCUUUGCCUCUCUCAUCUCAAGAGGAAAGAACUUGUCCAAGAAUGCAUCUUGGAACACUUGCCACAUCAUAGGAGCAGCAUUAUAACCUCUACUCUUCCUCCAUGAUACAAUCCAGUUAUAAGUUAUGUCUCUCAACCUGUAAGACGCCAACUCAACACUUUCAUUAUCAAAAACAUGUAUCACCUGCGUGAUCUUUCUCACCUCCUCAAGGUACAACUAUGGGUCUUCACCUGCCUUGGACCCAUAAAACUCUAGCGGAUUCAUUCACAUGAAAUCAUUGAUCAUAGAAGUAGCUACAUCACCUCCCUACUGAUUUGGAACUGCGGCAUGGUUAUUGGCCGGAACAUUAAUGGUGACUACCUGGGCUAAUGCCAGAAAGGCACCCCAAAACUCAGUAUGAAACAUAGUCCCAUUCAAAGGAUCAACAGGUGGGGGUUGCUGAUCAUCAUUUAUGCGGGCAUUCACUCUUUGGAGAGGUAUUUUUUGAAAUAAAAGAGCAUAAAUUAUUAGAUGAGAAGGACAACUGUAGGCACGAUAUAAUCUGAAAGAAAGAAAUAACUUUUUCCUAAAACUUCUUUUAGCCUUUUGCUCUUAGAUGUGGCGUGCUACACAUCGAGGAUCAAGACUCUACUCAACAUGGCUUCUCAAAAUCCCUAAGACUCCUUUAAAACCUGGCUCUAAUACCAAGUUUGUAACAACCCAAAAUCACCUCCCGAGAUGUCACACGGUGCUUAAGGCUACAAGUAGCCCUAAGCUAACCCUUUGAGUCUGCUUAUACUAAUACUACUCAUUUCAAGAUUAAACAAUUCAAACACUAGCAUAGUCAUAUCAUCUGAAGGGAGAUACGGAGAAAAUACUUGGUCCAAACGACCACAAUACUGGAAUUCUUAACACGAUCACAAUCUGACAACUAGUCUAACAAAGCCUCUACUAAUCCAUGAACUAGAGAGCCAUUGGGACAGGCCUCCAACUGACUCAAAAUAAACUGAAAGUAAUAACAUAGUCUCUCAAUUACUUAAAUGACUGAUGAUAGGUCCUCGAACCAUGAUGACUCACUACUAUAGAAAUAUAGAUAGAGGUAUUCGAAAGUAACUAACGAGGCUGGGACUGAGCACCUAAACCUACAUUAUAAGACAAUGUAGCACAUAGAAGUAUAUAUAAAUUAGCACUUGGGAAUGUACUGAGUCUGUAGAGAUGCAUGCAUUUAUAUAAAACAACAUUAAUACUCUUUAAUCAAAUCAUGCACACAAUAAGUAAUAACUCACAUGGCUUGAAUAAUUAUUAAAUGUAAAGCUCAUGAAUCAUGUAGAAUGGACCAUGUAACACAAAUCUCGUGAUUCAUCAUAGUUUAACUUUGAAAUCGGUAAUCUUCUCUUAUUCUCAUUACCCAUAGGCUAAAGGAAACUUUAAACAAUACUUUCAACUCAUUCAUAUGUCUCAUGGAGAGUAAAACUUCUUUAAUGCUCAAGAACUCAUAACUCUUUUGAACUCAAGUACUUGGAAUUCAGAAUCCUAUAACUUUGAAACAUACUUGAAGGCAUUUCAUUUACUUUAGGAAAAUAGCUUGUUUCAAGCUUUAGGGACAUCAUUCUAUCUCAAUGGAAAGAUACUCUAGUUUAGGGAAAUAACUUAUCUCAUAGUUUUAGAGAAAAUACUUAUAGCAAGGGAAAAUACUUUAGUCUUAGGGAGCAAAUCUGCAACUUUACUAUUAGGAAAAUAACUUGUAUCAAGGGAGGUUCACUUAACCGACAUAAAUCAUGCGAGCUACAUGGAGUCCAACGUUUUGUCCUCCUAAGAAAGAGACCCCACCUUGGGGAAGGGGAGCGUCAUACUCUUUACAGGGAGUAUAACCUCAAUUCAGUAAUCACUUAUCUCGUCCUUAGGCCCAAUAUCUCAGCCUUAGGCCUAAAAUCUCAAACCUACGGUGGCAUAUAGUUUUGGGGUAAAAAACCAUAGUAACUUACCCAACUCGAUGCUAAAUACUACUCCCUUUAGUUUAUCUCGAUCAUCUCAUGAAAAUCUACUUUAAAAUAGUCUCAUGGUUCAUCAAGAACCCAACAAUCAAAUCUAUAAUCUCAUGUAGUGAAGCAGAUUUCAAAACUCUAUGACCAUUAGGCCAAAAAAUUUCUCAAAAAUCUCAGAAUUCUCAAAUCAUAGGUGCUUAUAGCACAAGAGUUCAUUAAAUUGCAAAUCUCAAGUAGCGCUCAAUAACCCAUAAUUCAAUCUCAAGUUAAAACUCAUCAAAAGCAUAAUAGAUAGCAUCUAGAUUCAUAACUCAUGUAGAAAUCUGGAAAUUUCAGCAAUUUGUUUCAAAAUCUCAACAAACUCAUAUACUUCAGUAGCUCAAACAUUUUAACUAUUAAUUUCUCAAGGAUUAAAAUCAUGGGGUAUAGACCCAGCUAUUAUUUCUCAAGAAAACAUGUGAAAAUCAUGACAUUAGACUCUCAAUUCAUGGGAAACAUUAAAAUAUUGCAAUCAAUAAAAAAGGGUGAAAAACCCUAAUUCAAAUUCAUGUAAAAUCUCAUAGAUUACAAAAAAUCAUAGUUUAAAUAAGCCUUUGAGCACAACGAUGAAAGGAUUACCAUUGUUGAAAACCCCACAUACCUUUGAUUAUGAAAUUGGAUGAACGAGCUUGCUCUAAACUCUUCUUCUUACUCUUGAGAGAGAGAGUUCUAGAACCCUUUGAACUUAGGGAACUUAAUUUGUAGAAUCCAUGAUGAGUUCUUAGAUUUCUUGGAGAAGUGUUUUAGAUUUGCUCUUGAGCGAGAUACCCUAGCCUUUGGAUGUUUUGGGAGAUAAUAUGGCUAUCAUGUUUGUUUGGAAUAUAUCUGAGGGUUAAAAGGGAAAAGACCCAAAAACUCCUUUUAAAAGGUCUUAAAAAUACUGAACGGGGGCUGCGAUGGUCGAAGCGAUAGUCCGUCUCUAGCCUGAUGGUCCAUCGGGCCAUCCGUUGUAUGCUGGUUUAAAAAAGAACAUACUGUCUUGGUGUGACGGUCAAAGCAACGUUCCGUCGCUCAGCCUGACAGUCCAUCAGAUCAUCCUUCACACAUUGUCCAGGAUGAGGCCACACUGCCUAAGUGUGACGGUCCCAGCGAUGGUGUAUCACAGCCUUGAUGGUCUGUCAUUUUGGUUGUCGAACUUGGGCUAGAAAAGGGACUUAUUACCCUGGUUAUGAUGGGUUAAGCAAUGGUCCAUCGCAGACUCGACGGUCCAUCGGAUCAUCCAUUGCACCCGGGCAGUUUCUACAACUUUCAAUAAAACAGCCAUAACUUCUCACCCUGAUGCCGGAUUUAGACAAAAUUGGUAUCAUUGGAAAGCUAAUUCAAUUCACUACAUGAAAAAAAGUCAAAUUUAAGAAAAUUCUAUUUUUUUAAACACCAAUAACUUAGGAAGUCACCUUUCAAUAUUUUAGUGUUGGAAUUACACUUCUCUUGACACGCUCUAAGGCUCAGACUACGACUGAAUUUUAUGGGGUCUUAUAAGUAAAGUAUGUAUCUAAAUGUCAUAAUUAUCAACAGGUGAAAUAUGAAUAUCAAAGGCUUAUGGGUUUACUUCAGAGAAUACCUAUUCUCGAGUAGAAGUAGGAGAGGAUAGCCAUAGAUUUCAUAGUGGGUCUUCUGAAGACCUUAGAGUAGCAUAAAUCUAUAAGGGUCAUUAUGGACAAGAUGAACAAGUCAGCUAACUUCAUUCAAGUUACAGUGAAUUCUAACUUGAAAUAGUUACCAAAAUUUAUAUCAAGGAGAUAUUGAGGCUUCAUAGGGUACUGAUUUCUCUCAUUCUUGAUAAAGCAUGCAAUUCACCUCUAAGUUUUGGGACAGGUUAUAUGAAGAGUUGGCACUAAGCUUGAUUUCAGCAUUGCUUUCCUUCCUUAAACUAAUAGGUAGUAAGAAUGGUCUGGAUAUGUGCUUGAGGAUAUAGUAAUGCAUGUGUGAUUGAUUUUGGUGGUCAUUGGGAUAUGUUUAUGCCAAUGUGUAAGUUUUUAUACAGCAAUAGGUACUAUUCUAGCAUUAAUAUUGCUCUGAUCAAAGCACUCAAUAGAAGGAGGUAUAGAUCACCAAUAGGGUGGUUCAAAGUUGGUGACAUGAAGCCUUUAGGAAUAUAUUUGGUACAGAAAUCUUAGGAAAAGGUGAGAUUUAUCCAAAGCAAGUUGUAGACACCUUAAAUUAGGCAAAACAGGCAUGCAGAUCACAAGGUGAGGGACAUGUCAUUCAAAUCCAAUGAGUAGGUUUUAUUGAAAGCAUCUUCUAUGAUGGGAGUUAUGUGGUUUGGCAUGAAGCGUGACAUUGAUAUAUUGGUCCGCUUGAGGUUCUUAAUAAUAUAGCACUGGUAGCUUAUAGGUUGGUGCUGCCACCAGGCCUAUCAAGGGUUCAUCUACUAUUUAAUGUGUCAAUACAUUAGAGAUAUCAUGGAGAUAGGGAUUAAAUCAUUAUGUAGGAUUUAAUUUUCCUUGAUAAGAAUCUUUCGUACAAAGGGGAUCUAGUUAAAAUUAUUGAUCGAGAUAUUUUAAAGUUGAGAAUAAAGGAUAGUCAAUUUGUAAAGGUCUAAUAGAAGCAUCAUCCUAUUGAGAAAGCUACUUAGGAAACUGAGAGGGACAUGCAGGGCAUGUACCCUUACUCGUUCGAGGAUAAAAGUACUAUUUUCUUUUUAAUUGUCUUAUUUUCAUAUUUGAUUAUUUGGGGAUAAACGGUGGGAAGAUUGGUAUUUAUUAAAAUGACCCAUUCCAUCACUACGGGUAAGUCUAGAAUGCCUAAAUUUGACUUAAGGUUUUCCUCGAAUUGAGAGUUAUAGGUUUCAGGCUAGGCUAGCAUUGGAUAAAAUCUAAUUAUGGUAUGGUAGGAUAAUCUAGGAAUGGAUUAGUUAAAGGUUAUAUGUUUUUAAUUAUUUUUUUGAUAGAUAAGAAGAUAAGGAAUAUUCUAAAAUAAAUUCGAGUGAGGGUGAUAUCAAAAUAUGAGGGUGUAUUAUGAAAAUGGCAAAACUCAGAGGAAUCAUGAGUUUUUGCCUCACCUACGCUGCUAUAGAAGGUGGAGGGUGUCAAGCCUCUAAUAAUGCACUACUAUAGCGGAAGCCAGCUUUGGCCAGUUUCACCAUUGCAUGUUGAUUCUGCUAUAACGAGGAUGUUAUAGUGGGAUAGAUCUGCUAUAGUGGGAUAGGUUUAUAACUAGGAUAGGUUGCUAUAGUGGGAUAGGUUCUUGUGUACUGGUAGGGCCAUCAACCAACCCAAAAUAGGAAAAAUGAACAAGUAACCAUAACUUAGUAAAAUAAGAACAACCAUGAGCACCACCAUGUAACUUUACCUCAAAUAUGUGAUACAUAACCUUGUCAUUAACUUUAACACAAGAAACUAUCCUAGCUCAUUAUUUUAGGAUUUUCUACACUUUAAUAUCUUCGAAUUCCCAAUAUUUCAUGAUUUCAAAGAAGAAUUCUGUAAUGAACCUCCAGGUUAUUUUUUGUAUUUCUGCUUAUUUUAAUCGUUUAGAGCUUUUCUAUAGCUGUCCCAAGUCAUUUAUGACUUGCUGAAACUAAAAUUUUGGUUAACAGGUAGUUCAUUUGUUUUUUAAGAGCCAAUCUGGUUCAAAUUAGCUAACAAGAAAAGACUUCAGUUAGACAACCUCGUAUGUCAAUUAUAAUAGUUCAAACAACUCCAGAACAUCAAUUUUAGAUUAGGUAGAUCCUUUUCAUCAAAAUAUUCUCGAAUGAAAUUUUGACUGCGCGAUUGAGUCUAGAAUGUCAAAUUUGAUAAGGUAGGAUAGUCCGCUUGUAUAGACAAGAUUCUAGAUGAAUCCUGAGAGGCUGGUAGAGGCUUAGAAAAAUUCUAAGUCUCGGCCGGUACUGGUAUGUUGUGUACACGACCAGUCGAUUGCUAUUGGCCACUGGUAUGACUUAAGCAAGGAUUUGAUCACAUACGUGAGAGCUACUUAAGCAACUCCAGUGUUGCCGAUGCAACAUAUGCUUUGGCAGUAAGCAUCGCUUAAGCAAUCUAGUUUCUGCUUGAGCAACACCUAUACACCUGGGAAGGGUAUAAAAACCCCACUUAGCCUAAUUUUCACUAUUUCUCACCAAUUCUCUAGAAUAUUAAACCAUAAAAAGUGUAAAACUUAUGAGAAUCAUUAGUGGGAAAUUUUGAAGUGUUCAUAAACUCGAUUAACACAUUUCUUAUUUGACUUCCUGGUAAGUUUCAUCAAAUUCCAUCACUAAUUUCUCAUGAUUUCCCUAAAAUUCAUAAAAUAUUGGUUGGAUGAUCAUAGCACCAUUGAUAUUGAAAUUCACUCAUUCUUGAGGGUAAAUGUUCCUUGAGCAUAGAGGGACAUUUUGAUAGUUUCAAAAGUGUGAGUCUGCAAAUAGGCCCCACAUGAGAUUUUUACGUAAUUUUGGACCCAAAGCACAAUAGUGUAAUAUGGGCAUCAUUGUUAUCAUUUUGGUGAGUAUAUUAUGGUUUUGAUAGCACGACAUCUUGCAAAAGCUUCUUAGAAGGGGAAAUUAGUAGUUUAGCGGAUUCUUCGGGUUUUUUUCGGUGUCCACGUAUGAUAGAUUUACCUUCUUCACAGAUUGAGAUAACUCGUAGUAUAAUUAUCAUAUUAUAAUUGAUAUGGGAUGGGGUUUAGGUAUUGGAAGCAGGAUUGGUAUGGUUAGUCUUAUUUUGACUGUUUAGGCUAUCUUGAAAUCGUAAUUAGGUAAAAUUGACCUAGUUGCUCACAUUUUAGGUGGAAUUGACUCAGUUUCUUAUGUUUUAGGAAGAACUGUUAUCUUAGAGCUAAUUAUGUCAUUUAAUAUUUAGAAAUAAAUUUAGAUACCUUAACCUAGUUCAGGAUAGAAUUUGCCUAAAAUGAAUUUUGGGGAUUAGAAGUACGUCCCUCCAGCAUACUUUACGCCAAGAUGUGUCUUAGCUUUGUCUAAUACCCUAAGUUUCAGUCCUUGAAAAUUUUUGAAAUUUUAUACUCACUUCCCAAACUACGAAUCUCCUUAUGAGUUGUAAUAAGUCAUUACGAGUCAUACAACCCUAAUCAUAGCCUGACUAGUGUGUAUGGCUAAGUUUUCUAUCUUAAGUACGAGUGGCUCCUAACGAGUUGUAAAGACUCAAAAUAAGUCGUAUGGUGUCUUCUAUAGCCUAACCAGUAUGAUGUCCAAUUGUUUUUUCUUUGAUAAUGAUUGGACCAUACGAGUCAAAAUGACUGAGUAUAAGUCGUAUAGUAUGUGAUUCAUAUCCAAGUCAGUAUUAGUGAUCAUGGACACUUUCCAGAAUACAAGUGGGACCUUACGAGUCAUAAGGUGACCCUACGAGUCUUAAGGUCAGUCGUAGGGAUUGGGCGAUAAUUUUUAGUCUUUUAUUAAGGGCAUUCUGGUCAAUUCCCCUUUUUCUUUACUCAUACCCCAUGUCCAUAAAGCACUCAAGGGGUUAUUCUCAUUCAUAACACAAUCAAAACACACUCUCUUCUCUCUAAACUCUCCAAGGUCAAGAUAUGUAGGAUUUUCAAGAAGUUGGUCAUCUAAGGGCUCAAGGGUUGAUUUCUCUCCAUAAAUCUUGGUAUUUUAGGCAUGUUACUCUUCCCCAAAUAUUAAUUUAUGAAAAUCAUGUAUUUAAAUGGUUUAAUCAGAGGGUUUUGAUGUGAUUGAAGGUUUUGACAUGGUUGAUACAUAAAUUGUUUUCCUAUGAUUUAUUAUAUAUUGUUUAUUCUUUAUUAAUGGUUUUGAACUGGUGGGGUGCAUGGGAAUGGUGAAUAAACUAAGGGGCCAUGGUUUUCCCCAAAUUGAUGUUUUGAAAUUUGGAGUUAGUUUUGAAUAAUUGUGUUCCCUCAACCUGCUUGUGUAAAUGGCUUUGAAUGGUGAAAUUAUCACUUGGCUUGAUGUACUCACCUAUUUUAUUGCACUGCAUAAAUGGUUAAAUAAUGAACCUAGAUUUUGAAGGCCUUGUUGGCUAUGAUUUAAUUUAAUGAACAAAGGGGGUUGAGGUAUUCCCCCAAGUUAAUGUGAUUGUUAUGGCAUAGAGAUAAGCUUGAAAGUGUUAGGGUAUUACGAUACUCAUAGUGUGCCUUAAUGGUUGGUUCUUUGGUUAAUAAAUAGGUUAGGUGAAACUUGCUUUAAAUUAGGCUUAAUGGGGGUUAUGUAGUGAAGCCGUGAAGGUGUGGGUCUCAAAUGAUUUAUAUUGGAAACUCAUGUUUGCCAACGUGAGGUCUGGUCUUGAUUACUAUGUGCAUAUGUAACGCCCCGGAAAACGGAUCCCGGAGCGUCACACGGUGCUUGAGGCUACGAGUAGCCCCAAGCUAACCCUUUGAGCCAUUUUUAUUCAAUUCAACAUGAAUCAACGGGGUUUCCAUAAAUAACCCUCAAAUAUUAACAGAGUAAUCAUCAUCCAAGAAUAAAAUAAUUUCAGAAAGAUAACAAAAUACGACUUAUUAGUCAACUCCCAACAUCUAUACUAGUCUGNNNNNNNNNNNNNNNNNNNNNNNNNNNNNNNNNNNNNNNNNNNNNNNNNNNNNNNNNNNNNNNNNNNNNNNNNNNNNNNNNNNNNNNNNNNNNNNNNNNNNNNNNNNNNNNNNNNNNNNNNNNNNNNNNNNNNNNNNNNNNNNNNNNNNNNNNNNNNNNNNNNNNNNNNNNNNNNNNNNNNNNNNNNNNNNNNNNNNNNNNNNNNNNNNNNNNNNNNNNNNNNNNNNNNNNNNNNNNNNNNNNNNAAUUUGUCAAUCACUUUCAGUUCAUCAAGAAUAUCAAUUCUCAUAAUGUAAAUAUCAUUUAAAUCUUUUGAAAGAAUAACUUUCACAAUUCCACUUUCAAAUCACUUCACCAUUCACCAUAGACACAACGAAACACACGCACACUGGGAGAUCCUAUAACCGACAUAAACCAUGUGAGCUACAUGAAGUCCAACGUACAACCCACGUUAGGGAGAGCUGUCCUAUCCUUUCCAUUAGAGUAGGACUAUCGAUAUUAAAUCCACACUAACUAGUGAUCACUAUAUAAAUCAGCCUCAAGCUCACUCCUACGGGGGCACUUAGUUCUAGGGAAGUAAGGUCGCUUUAUACCUCCCACUCAAUGCUAAAGAUUUCUCCUGAACUUAUCUUAGAUCAUUUCAAAGACAAUCCACAAUAAAUCUUGAAUAAAUUUGCAGAAUUAAUGGUGAACUUUGGAGGUUCUUGAAGUUCUUGAACUAGGAACUUGGAAUCUUGAAUAAAUUUGCAGAAUUAAUGGUGAACUUUGGAGGUUCUUGAAGUUCUUGAACUAGGAACUUGGAAUCUUGAAUAAAUUUGCAGAAUUAAUGGUGAACUUUGGAGGUUCUUGAAGUUCUUGAACUAGGGACUUGGAAUCUUGAAUAAAUUUGCAGAAUUAAUGGUGAACUUUGGAGGUUCUUGAAGUUCUUGAACUAGGAACUUGGAAUCUUGAAUAAAUUUGCAGAAUUAAUGGUGAACUUUGGAGGUUCUUGAAGUUCUUGAACUAGGAACUUGGAAUCUUGAAUAAAUUUGCAGAAUUAAUGGUGAACUUUGGAGGUUCUUGAAGUUCUUGAACUGGGAACUUGGAAUCUUGAAUAAAUUUGCAGAAUUAAUGGUGAACUUUGGAGGUUCUUGAAGUUGGCUGUAGGAGCUUAGGGUUUUCUUUUUUAGGGAAUUUGAUGGAAUAUAACAUAUAAUGAUUUUAAUAGGCUUUAAUAUAGGGUUUGGAUGGAUUUUGGGUGAGGGGGAAUGACCAAAACGCCCCUAAAAAAUCAAAUAAUUCUCGAAUCAAUCCUUUGGUGGACAGUUUUGAUAGUCUGAAGUAGAUUAACCAUAACGUUUCACUCCAAUAUCCAAAUUAGAUGAAACUAAUUUCAUUAGAAAGAGGACUCUCAUAUCUUUUCGUUGAUAUAUAGUAUCUCACCCAGAUCAUUGUGUACGAGGAGUUAUGAUCAUUUGAAGUUGACCCAAAAAUUUACUUUUGAUAGGCUAAAGUAGAUCGACCAUAACUUUUUGCACCGGUAUAAAAAUUGGAGGAAACUAAUUUUAUUGGAAAGAGGACUCGCAGAGAUUUCCGUUGAUAUAUAGUAGAUAACCCAGAUCAUUAUGUACAAGUAGUUAUGAUCGUUUAAAAUUGGAGCAAAAAUAUGUCAGGACUUAGUACUUUUUCCUGCACGUUUUACUGUUCACUACUAUUCAUGGUUCGAUCGGAAUGUUCAUAACUCGUCGCUCGGGUAUCCGUUUUGGAUGAUCCAUAUAUUGUUGGAAAUCUUACUCGAUAAUAUACGCAAUGGUGGGUCAUAAUCUAAGACAUUCCACAUGAAAAAUUUAUAAUUCAUUCUAGAAGAUAGAACCCAACACGUUUACGCACAAAAUUUCAACGAUAAAUUUCCCGGGGUAUUACAUCAUCCCCCCUUGGAAACAUUCGUCCUUGAAUGAUGCUAGACAUGUCAAGAUUAGAUAGGGAAUAAAGCAUACUGUUGAAACCAUUCGUUAGAAUCAUCACCACAUCGUUUCUCACUCCGAAUGCAACAUAGAAUGUAUAAAUUCAAGAAACUACAGCUGAACACAUAAUAAAUGCAGUUGAACUGCUGCAACUUUUAUCAAAAGUGCAUGAUUUAGGAAAGAACGGUACCUUNNNNNNNNNNNNNNNNNNNNNNNNNNNNNNNNNNNNNNNNNNNNNNNNNNNNNNNNNNNNNNNNNNNNNNNNNNNNNNNNNNNNNNNNNNNNNNNNNNNNNNNNNNNNNNNNNNNNNNNNNNNNNNNNNNNNNNNNNNNNNNNNNNNNNNNNNNNNNNNNNNNNNNNNNNNNNNNNNNNNNNNNNNNNNNNNNNNNNNNNNNNNNNNNNNNNNNNNNNNNNNNNNNNNNNNNNNNNNNNNNNNNNNNNNNNNNNNNNNNNNNNNNNNNNNNNNNNNNNNNNNNNNNNNNNNNNNNNNNNNNNNNNNNNNNGGCUAAGAAUUUUGUAAGGACCAACAUAACGGGGACUAAGCUUCCCCUUCUUUCCAAAUCUCUUCACCCCCCUCAUGGGUGAAAUUUUCAGAUACACUAGGUCACCAACUUCAAACUCAAGGUCUCUCCUUCUAACAUCCACAUAUGACUUCUGAUGACUCUAUGCAGUUUUCAACCUUUCCCUAAUCAACUUAAAAUUUUUCAUAGCCUCAAAUACCGAAUCAGGACCACUCACAGCCGCUUCACCCACCUCGAACCAACCUAUGGGUGAUCUACACUUUCUCCCAUAUAAGGAUUCAAACGAAGCCAUGUCAAUACUAGAGUGGAAACUGUUAUUGUAAGUAAACUCUAUCAACGGUAAGUGAUCAUCCCAACUUCCCUUAAAGUCAAGUUCACAAGCUCUCAACAUAUUCUCUAAGGUCUGGAUGGUCCACUCAGCCUGACCAUCGGUCUGCAGAUGAAAAACAGAACUCAAAAGCACUUGGGUACCAAGACCCUUCUGAAAAACUUUCUAAAAUUAUGAAGUGAACUGAGUACCCCUAUCUGAAAUGAUAUAGAAGGGAACUCUAUGCAGUCUGACUAGCUCUCAGAUAGACAAUCCAGCGUAAUCCUCAGCAGUAUAUGAAGUAUGAACAAGCAAGAAAUGAGAAGACUUAGUCAACCUAUCAACCACAACCCAAAUGGAAUCAUGAUAGCGUCGGGAAGGAGAUAAACCAAUCACGAAGUCCAUAUUUAUCUCUUUCCACUUCCAGAUGGGAAUACUAAACUCUUGCAUCAUACCACUAGGUCUUUGGUGUUCAACUUUAACCUGUUAGCAUAUUAUACACUUAGCUACAAACGCUGCUAUAUCUUUCUUCAUGCCACUCCACCAAUAGAUUUCCCGCAAGUCUCAGUACAUCUUGGUGGCACCAGGAUGAAUAGAAUAUCGUGCCCCGUGUGCUUCAGCCAUAAUCCUCUAUCUCAAAUCAUCAAUAUUUGGGACACACAAUCUACCCUGCAAUCUUAACACACCAUCUCCCCCUUGGGAGAAAACCUCUACUUUUUGGUCCUUGACUGACUCCUUCAGUAUGACUAAACUAGCAUCUAAGUAUUGCUUUUUCUUCCCUUCUGAAACCAAGGAGGAUUCGGAACUACUCUGAACCCCUAUACUACCUUUAGCAAAGUCAACCAAUCUAGCCAAACGAUGUACAUCACAAGCCAACUCUUUCUUACCUUCUACCACAUGCGAAACACUACCUAUGGACACUCUACUUAGGGCAUCCGCCACAACAUUAUCCUUGGCCGGAUGGUACAGCACACUCAUAUCAUAGUCCUUUAAUAAUUCUAACCAUCAUCUCUGCCUAAGAUUCAAUUUUCUCUGGGUAAACACAUACUGCAUACUCUUAUGAUCAGUGAAAACAUCAACAUGGACACCAUACAAAUAGUGUCUCCAGAUUUUCAUAGCAAACACAACAGCAGCCAACUCAAGGUCAUNNNNNNNNNNNNNNNNNNNNNNNNNNNNNNNNNNNNNNNNNNNNNNNNNNNNNNNNNNNNNNNNNNNNNNNNNNNNNNNNNNNNNNNNNNNNNNNNNNNNNNNNNNNNNNNNNNNNNNNNNNNNNNNNNNNNNNNNNNNNNNNNNNNNNNNNNNNNNNNNNNNNNNNNNNNNNNNNNNNNNNNNNNNNNNNNNNNNNNNNNNNNNNNNNNNNNNNNNNNNNNNNNNNNNNNNNNNNNNNNNNNNNNNNNNNNNNNNNNNNNNNNNNNNNNNNNNNNNNNNNNNNNNNNNNNNNNNNNNNNNNNNNNNNNNNNNNNNNNNNNNNNNNNNNNNNNNNNNNNNNNNNNNNNNNNNNNNNNNNNNNNNNNNNNNNNNNNNNNNNNNNNNNNNNNNNNNNNNNNNNNNNNNCUGACCUUAGCCAAAACUCACACUUACUGAACUUGGCAAACAACUUGUGAUCUCUAAGGGUUUGGAAGACAGUUCAGAGAUGAUCAGAAUGUUCAUCCUCACUACGGGAGUACACCAGUAUAUCAUCAAUGAACACUAUGACAAACACAUCCAGAUAUGGUCUGAACACUCGAUUCAUGAGGACCAUGAAAGUUGUUGGGGCAUUAUUUAACCCGAAAGACAUAACAGGAAACUCAAAAUGGCCAUAACGAGUUCGGAAAGCGGUUUUUGGGAUGUCACACUCCCUAACUUUGAGUUGAUGAUAGCCGAAACGAACGUCUAUCUUUGAGAAAUAACUUGCACCUUGCAAUUAGUUAAACAAAUCAUCUAUUCUAGGAAGGGGUUACUUAUUUUUUAUGGUGACUUUAUUCAGUUGGCGGUAAUCAAUGCACAUACGCAAAGAGCCAUCUUUCUUUCUUACAAACAACACAGGAGCACCCCAAGGAGAAACACUGCGCCUUGUGAAACCCUUAUCUAGUAGAUCUUUGAGUUGCUCUUUCAACUCUUUAAUUUCUGCAGGGGCCAUACGGUAAGGAGAAAUAGAAAUAGGAUGAGUAUCAGGAAGAAGAUCAAUCUCGAACUUUAUCUCUCUAUCAGGAGGUAUCCCUGGGAGAUCAUUUGGAAAGACAUCAAAAAACUCAUUGACAACAUUAACAGACUGAAGAGUUGGAGUCUCAGACUUAGUGUCUUUGACUCUAACCAAAUGGUAAAUGCACCCCUUGGAAAUAAGCUUUCAAGCUUUGAGGUAAGAGAUAACAUAACUCUUGGGUGACAUAGAAUUCCCAGACCAUUCAAACACGGAUACACCCAGAAACUGAAACUUUACCACUUGGAUUCGACAAUUAAUAGAGGCAUAAAAAGAAUACAACCAGUCCAUACCCAGAAUUACAUCAAAAUCUACCAUGUCUAACUCAAUCAGAUUAGCCAACAAGAUUCUAUGAAGAACAGUAAUAGGACACUUUUUAUACACUUUUUAGGCAACAAUCGAAUCACCCACUAGGGUAGAAACUAGGCUACGCUUAGGAAUAAUCUCAGGCCUUAUUUCAAAAUUCAUAGCAAUCAAAGGUAUAACGUAUGAGAAACUAGAUCCAGGAUCCAACAAAGCAUACACAUCAAACUAAAAUAUAUGAAGCAUACCAGUAACAAUAUCGGGAGAGUUCUCUUGUUCCUGGGGGGACGGUAAAGCAUAAAAUCUAUUCUGGCGCUGCCCACCAGCACUGCUAAAAGAGAUGCCCUGAGCUGGGCUGGGCGAGUCCCUGGAAUUGGAGCACUAAUAGUCUGAGUCUGGGUCUGAGGGCAAUAGUCACGAUGUCGUUGUCCAUCCUGUGGACAAUCUCUAACUCUGUAACCCAUGUCACUACACCAGAAACAACCCCUCUUCUCACCCUAACACUCACCCGAAUGAGCCCUACCACACUUAGGACACAGGGGAUGAUUUGUCUUACUGUCAGCACUGUACUGGGACCUGGAUGCAUAUGACCUACUACCUUGCUCUUGCCUACCUUUAGGCACGGGAGCACUAGUAGAUGACGGUGUUGGCAUAGAUGAACGAUCCUAAUACUAAGGGAGACUCCCUCCCUGCGAUCUAGUCUGACCUUGUCCGUGCUGCUCGAACCUAGCUCUCUUAUUCCCUCUCAUUCUAUCUCUCUCCUUAAUCUUGUCUGCCUCAAUUCACUGGGCAUGAGUCAUCAGCCUAGAAAGAUUCAUCUCACUAUUCAGCAUAGCAGACCUACACUCCUUAACCACAUAACUAGACACUCCAGUUACAAACUUACUCAUACUAACCCGAUUAUCAGCCACAAAGUCAGGAGCAUACUUGGCCAACUUACUGAACUUUAGACAGUACUCCCUAAUAGUCAUAGAGCCCUGUCGCAGGUUCAUAAACUCUUCCACCUUCGCCUCCCUCAUCUCUAAAGGGAAAAACUUAUCCAGGAAUGCAUCCUGGAACUCUCGCCAAGUCGUAGGGACAGCUCUCUCACCUCUACCUUUCCUCCAAGCAACAACCCAAUCAUAAGCAAGGUCUUUCAACCUAUACGCAGCCAACUCUACACUAUGUUCCUCAGAUACAUGCAUCACCAAAGUAAUCUUCUGCACCUCCUCUAAAAAUAAUCGUGGAUCCUCAUCAGACUUGGACCCAUAGAAUUCCGAUGGAUUCAUCCGUAUAAAGUCAUGAAUCCUGGCAGUAGGUGAAUUACCUCCCUACUGCUAUGGAGCUGGGGCCGGGUUGGCCUAAACAUUUGCAGUAAUAGCUUGGGCUAGCGCCUGAAAGGCUGCCCAAAAAUUUAGCAUGAGACACAUUUUCAUUCAAUAGGUCAGUGGGUUGAGGUUGCUGACCAUCAUUAUUUCUUCUUGCUCGGCUGGAGGCAUAUUUCUGAAAGAUGAGAGCACGAAUCAAUAGCAGAGAGAGACACUUUAAGCACGAUAGACUUCUUAAAGAAAGAAUUAUACUUUUCCUAAAACGUCUUGUAGUCUCUUGCUCAUAGAUAUAGCGCGUUACACACCAAUGAUCAAGACUCUACUUAACACGGCUUGUCAGACUCCCUAGGACACCUUAAAACCUUAGGCUCUAAUACCAAGUUUGUAACGCCCUAAAAAAUAGGUCCCGGAGUUUCACACGGUGCUUAAGGCUACGAGUAGCCCCAAGCUAACCCCUUGAGCCAUUUUCAUUCAGUUCAACAUGAAUCAAUGGGGUUUCCAUAAAUAACCCUCAAAUAUCAAUAGAGUAAUAAUCAUCCAAGAAUAAAAGAAUUUCAGAAAGAUAACAAAAUACGACUUAUUAGUCAACUCCCAACAUCUAUACUAGUCUGACAUACCUCUAAAAACAUCAAUAAAACCAGCGAGCCAUUAAGACAUGCCCCAACUGACUUAUACUCAGUUAUCAAAUGUAAACAAUUUUAUGAAACCAACUUCAGACAUCACUUUCUCAGAAUAUGAGGACUCACCAUAAUAGAGGAUAUAGAAUAGCGUGCCUGAAGAAUCACUAUCAAACCUAGAUUUGAGCACCUGAACCUAUAUUCUGAGAAAAUACAACCCACAUCCGAAUAUGUGGUGAGUAUAUGAGGGUGUAUGCAGUUUUAUAAACAUCAUCAUCAUAAAUAUUUAUAAGAAAUAUGCAGGAUGUAUGAAAGAGUCACAUAGCCCGAAGAAAAUCAUCAUAAUCAUGAGAGGAUAAAAUAAGUAUAAUAACACAUAUGAGUCAUCAUAUAAUUUGUCAAUCACUUUCAGUUCAUCAAGAAUAUCAAUUCUCAUAAUGAAAAUAUCAUUUAAAUCUUUCAAAAGAAUAACUUUCACAAUUCCACUUUCAAAUCACUUCAUCAUUCACCAUAGACAUAAGAAAACACACACACAUUGGGAGAUCCUAUAACCGACAUAAACCAUGUGAGCUACAUGGAGUCCAAUGUAUAACCCACAUUGGGGAGAGCCGUCCUAUCCUUGCCAUCAGAGUACGACUAUCGAUAUCAAAUCCACACAAACUAGUGAUCACUAUAUAAAUCAGCCUCAGGCUCACUCCUAUGAGGGCACGUAGUUCUAGGGAAGUAAGGUCGCUUUAUACCUCCCACACGGUGCUAAAUAUUUCUCCCGGACUUAGCUCAGAUCAUUUCAAAGACAAUCCACAACAAAACAAUUUCAUUAAUAUAUAAAUAUACAUCGAGAGCNNNNNNNNNNNNNNNNNNNNNNNNNNNNNNNNNNNNNNNNNNNNNNNNNNNNNNNNNNNNNNNNNNNNNNNNNNNNNNNNNNNNNNNNNNNNNNNNNNNNNNNNNNNNNNNNNNNNNNNNNNNNNNNNNNNNNNNNNNNNNNNNNNNNNNNNNNNNNNNNNNNNNNNNNNNNNNNNNNNNNNNNNNNNNNNNNNNNNNNNNNNNNNNNNNNNNNNNNNNNNNNNNNNNNNNNNNNNNNNNNNNNNNNNNNNNNNNNNNNNNNNNNNNNNNNNNNNNNNNNNNNNNNNNNNNNNNNNNNNNNNNNNNNNNNNNNNNNNNNNNNNNNNNNNNNNNNNNNNNNNNNNNNNNNGUGAACUUUGGAGGUUCUUGAAGUUGGAUGUAGGAGCUUAGGGUUUUCUUUUUGGGGGAAUUUGAUGAAAUAUAACAUAUAAUGCUUCUAAUAGGCUUUAAUAUAGGGUUUGGACGUAUUUUGGGUGAGGGAAAAUGACCAAAACACCCCUAAAAAAUCAAAUAAUUCUCGAAUCUAUCCUUUGGUGGACUGUUUUGAUAGUCUAAAGUAGAUCAACCAUAACGUUUUAUCCUAUAUCUUCAUUAGAAAGAGGACUCUCAUAUCUUUUUAUUGAUAUAUAGUAUCUCACCCAGAUCAUUGUGUAUGAGGAGUUAUAAUCGUUUGAAGUUGACCCAAAUAUUUGCUUUUGAUAGGCUGAAGUAGAUCGACCAUAACUUUUUGCUCCGAUAGACAAAUUAGAUGUAACCAAUUUCAUUGGAAAGAGGACUCGCAAUGCUUUUCAUUCAUAUAUAGUAGAUCACCCAGAUCAUUAUAUACAAGGAGUUAUGGUCAUUUAAAGUUGGAGAGAAAAUACAUUAGGCCUCGGUACUUUUUCCUGCAUGUUUUACUGUUCACUACUAUUCACGGUUCGAUCAGAAUAUUCAUAACUCAUCGCUUAGGUGUCUGUUUUGAAUGAUCCAUAUAUCGUUGGAAAGAUUAUUUGAUACUCUACACAAUGGUGGUUCAUAAUCUAAGACAUUCCAUACGGAAAAGUUAUAAUUCAUUCUAGAAGAUUGAACCCAACACAUUUACGCACAAAAUUUCAACAAAAAAUUUCUUAGGGUAUUACAGCAUAGGUCACACUUGAUCUAUAUAUAUAUAUAUAUAUAUGACUAGUUGCCUUGAUGGAUUUAUCUUUCCCAUAGUUUUUCUUCAAUUCAUAUAGCUAACAUGGGCUGAGGACCUUUCAGCAGGGGGAGUUGAACCUAUAUAUCCUGUGGGUGCCUUUUAUGAUGGUUGAGCUACAUAGUCCAUUAUAAUGUUUUACGUCAUUCUAAACAUUGUUCCCUAUCACGGCAUAUUAGUUAUAUAUAUAUAUGAUGAUGUCCACGUGAUUUUGAAUUGGAUUUAACUUGGCAUUAUUUUUAUCUCUUAUCCUUGAGUUACAUGCUAGUGCUCAACCCACUAACUCUCUUCGAAUGUUGUAUUCACAUAUAAUUCAGGAACCAAAGAUACCUCUAUUUUUUUUUACAGUGUUAAGUAGAUCAACUCAUUUUGUCGAUCAUUGGUGGUGAAGUGGUAAGCUUUUAUUUUUAGGAAGGCUUGGUCAUUUUAUCAGUUUUCUUUUAUAGACUAUAAUUAAAGAGUUCCCAUUAUCAUUAACAUUAUCAUUAUCAUUAUCAUUUUUAUUGUCAGGCUCAGGGGUAUGUCCCUGACAAAGAUUGGCUUUUGGUUUUGUUAGAGGGUUUAUGGAUAUUACUGUAGAUCGAGUUGCAUUGAUGUUGACACUUUUAACUAUCUUUGAUCUUAGUUUAUUGUCUUCUUAUCUUGUUAUAUAUUUGAAAUUCAGUCACUGCUAAGUGCUAUGUCCUUUUUGGCUAGGCAAAAGGGUUGGUCUUCGGUCCUUGGUAGACUUGAGAUACCCAUCAAGGUCAGGCCCUAGUUUGGGUUGUGACACUUUGUAGACUUAUUUACGCAUGAUAUACCCUUUUUAAUGCUUAUCUUGAGACUUUGAGAGAGGUUAAAUACUUAAUUAUUACGCUAGUUUGGUAAUUAGGAGUUAGUGUUAAUUCUAGGGAAAAUUCAAUGGGUAAUUAUUAUAAUUUAGAGAUAUGGCUUAUGGAUAUGGUUUAUUUAUGUGGUGUAUUGACAUAGUCUAUUUAUAUGAGUUUUGAUUCAAGUUUGACAAUUAAUAAUGAUAUUGAUUAAUAUGAGUUUUAGUUCAAGUCCGGCAACUGAUGAUGAUAUUGAUACAUGAGUUCUGGUUCAAGUCUGGCAAUUGAUGAUGAUAUUGAUACUAUGAGUUCUAUUUCAAGCUCGAAAAAUGAUGUUAUGAUGUGAUACUAUUGGAGAUGUUAUAAUAAUGAUGUUGUGAGUUUUGGUUCGAGACCAAAAAUGAGAGUUGGGUACAAUAUGAGACUGUAUGGACGGUUUGAUGAUUAUAGUUGAUAUUUAGUGAAGUUAUGGAUCUUUCGUUGUUUAGUUUCCUUGAUUUUACACUUUGGGCGUAUGCCCCCCUCCCCACGUUGGGUUAUUUUCUUUCUGCAUUUAUUGGCUUAUGGGGGACAACUUAGUUAUAAUUGUAAGAUCUUUAUGCUACUUUUUCGUAUUUAUUUACUUACUUAUGCAUAACAAUGUUGGAGAUAAUUUUCCAGGUUUUCUUUUUUACCUUGACUUGGAUUAUUUUUUUGUAUCUUAUCGUACUUAUAUCAUGAUUUAUCUUAGUCAGUUGAUGAUUUCUACUGAGUACCUAUGGUUUUGGUACUCAUACUACACUUUUGUACCUUUUUGGUGUAGAUCCGAGUACUAGUUAUUGUCAUUAGUAUGACACUUAUGCUGAGUUGAUUUCAGAGAUUGGAUGAGAUCUUAAAUUUGGAAUUUCCCUUUACCCUUCUAUUAUCCAUAUCUAGUCUUUCAUUUUGUGAGAUAGAUUGUAUUUGAUAGUUUUAGUACUUAUAUUUUAUUUCAAGUAGCUCUAUACCAACACUACUAAGUCUUGGGAUGAUUUUUGAUCUUUUAUCUAUCUAUGAGACUAUUAUGACUAUCUUAUUGUUAUUAUAAGCCUUUAAUAAUUGAUUUUGGCUUUUACGCUAUUUUUCACCAAGUUAGCCCAUUUUUUAUAACUCUAGGCUAUCAUUUCGCUUAUUUACUGGCGGGAUAAAGUAAGUGUCAUCAUGACUCAUAAAUCAGGUCUUGACAAAUUGGUAUUAGAGUCUAGGAUUCACCAAUAUUGUUGGUAUAAGAGCACGUGUCUAGUAGAAUCCCACAGAUCAGAACAAUAACGUCCAUUUAUUUUCUUUAGGAGACUAUAAGACAUUCUUAGGAGUUCUUCACCUUUUUCACUUAUUUCAUGUUAAGAGUUUGAGUUGGUUUCGAAAGCAUUUCUUUAGUUUCACUCUUUCACAUAUAGCUAGGACAUGUGCUACCACAAUAUGAGAGGAGGGUCCUAAGAUCGAUCCUAGGUAUCCUGACAUUUUUCAUGGAUGACCUAAAGGUCAUGUACAACCCAGGUAUGUGUCCCCGGCUAGGGCCUACGAUAGGGUGCCUUUACUAGAACAUAUUCUUGCCCUCGAGCCAGAUAUCUCUUCUGCCCCAGCCAGUUGUGGGUCGAGACCAGCCCAGGCUCUAUAGGGGUUUAUUUAUUCAAUACUUAAGGAUACUUUGGUUCAGCUAUUAAGAUUUAUUAGUGGUGAAGAGUCUACAGAUCAGAGUAGUAUUGAGGUGGGGCGCAGCCUGUAGCUGCAGCUCCCAAUAUUGAUUCCUUCAUGUACCAGUAAUUGCCCAGUUGGUAGUUGCUCAGUUGGUAGUUACCCAGCCUGCUAUGCCUGUUGAGGAGUACAAGAUAUUGGGUAGAUUCUUGCGAUUGGCUUCGCCUAGGUUUUUUGGUAUACCAAGUGAGGAUGCUUAUGAGUUCUUAAUUAUUUGUAAGGAUACACUCCAUAAUUUAGGCCUAGUUGAGACUCAUGGUAUGGAUUACACUACCUUUUAGUUGGACUUGGUAUCUCGAUAUUGGUGGAGAGGUCAUCUUGAUUCCAGGCCAGCUGGAUCACCUCCUAUGUUAUGGACUUAGUUCUUUGAGAUCUUCUUAGAGAAGUAUAUGCCUCACAAUCUUAGGGAUUACCUAAAGGAUCAGUUCUCAUGGUUAAAGAAGGGAUCUAUAAUUAUUGUGGAGUAUGAGGCUUGAUUUUAUGAGUUGGUCAGGCAUGCUACUUCUAUUUUAACUACUGACUAUGCGAGGGUUCGUUGCUUUGUUCAGGGACUGAGACUUUUUUUUCAUAUAUAUACAAAGAAUUUGGUUGUUGUGUUUAGAUAAUUUGUUGAGGUUUCUAAUCAUGCUCGAGCUAUGAAGGAGAUAUAUUGCGAACCUUAAGGGGGCAGCGAUAAGAGGCCUCAAUAUCAAGGUAGUUUCAGUAGGAGUCAUAGUGGCUCACGGUUCAGAGGUAGUGGUUCAUAGGGUAGGUACCUUCCGCAUCAGUCGUAUCAGCAUCAGGGUCAGUUUAGUAGGCUCGUUCAGGCUGAACUUUAGAUUACUGAUGAAGGCCAGUCUAGUUUUAGUUAUCAUCCUGGCUAGGGUAGUGGUCAGUCUUUGAGAGGUUCAUCUUCUGGUUAUUCUAGUCGUGGUGGUUAUUCCGAGUCAGUCAAAUUUUCUAGCUUUAGUAAAAUUCUUAGGCCAUGUUAUGUUUGUGAAGUUUUUAGUCAUUUCUCGAGAAAAUACCCAAUCCAUGGAGUGAUGUUUCCUUCAAUUCAUAGCAUUCCACCAAUUCAGGCAGUUCUACUUUAUCUAGAGGUGGUAUGCAUGGGUGUAGGGGUGGUCCCGAAGGUGCUUAUGGAGGUUCUCAGGUAGGUAGGAUAGGAGAUUUGUUAGGAGCCUAGCUAGGUAAUGGGUGUGGUCAGUUGUAUGUCAUACCUGCUAGACCUGAGACUGAGUCUUUGAAUGUUGUUAUCACCAGUAUAAUCUUGGUAUGCCAUCAGUUAACUUUUGCUUUAUAUGAUCUGGGAUACACUUAUUCGUAUAUAUCUGCUUAUUAUGCCUCACAGUUAGAGUUAUCUUGGGACUCAUUAUCUAUGCUAUUAUGUGUGUCUACUCUCGUGAGUUAUUCUUUUGUAAUGGAUCAGAUUUAUAGAUCAUGUGUUGUGACUGUUCAAAGUUUGAUACUUGGGCUGAUCUUAUUGUGUUAGAUAUAGUGGAUUUUGGUGUGACUCUGGGCAUGGACUGGUUAUCCCACUAUCAUGCGGUCCUAGAUUAUUUCGCCAAGACCAUUACCUGAGCCAUACUUGAUGUACCCCCAGUGGUAUGGCAGGGAAUGAUUAAUCGUAAGCAAACACGGAUUAUUUUUUAUAUUCGGGCUAGGAGACUUAUUUUGAGGGUUUGCGAGUAUUACCUUACUUAUAUUCAUGAUGUUAGUAUAAUGACUCUUUCUUGACACUAUUCCUAUAGUUCAUGAGUUUCCUGAUGUUUUUCCUAUCGAUCUACUUGGUCUUCCUCUAAAGAGUGAUAUAGAGUUUGUUAUUGAUACUGAUCCAGACACCCGACCUAUUUUUAUGGCACCUUAACAUAUAGCCCUACCGAGAUUAAAAAGCUAAAUUUGCAUCUUCAGGAUCUUCUUAGUAAGGUUUUCACUAAACCAAGUGUGUUUUCUUGGGGAGCACAUAUGUUGUUUGUGAAAAAAAGAAUAGUUUCAUGUGUAUAUGUAUUGAUUAUAGGCAGAUUAAUAAAGUGAUAGUGAAGAACUGGUAUCCUAUGCCUCGCAUUGAUGAUUUAUUUGGCCAACUUCAGGAAGCGGUGGUGUUCUCUAAGAUUGAUUUGAGGUCCCGUUACCAUCAAUUGAGGAUUUAUACUGAGGAUAUCCCAAAGACAACCUUUAGAACCCAUUAUGGUCAUUAUGAGUGUCUGCUAAUGUCUUUUGGGUUGCCCAAUAUCUUAGUCGUAUUUAUAGAUUUGAUAAACCGUGUGUUCAGGACUUAUUUGGAUUCUGUUGUGAUUGUGUUUAUUUACGACAUCAUUGUAUACUUGAAGAGUAGGGAGGAGCAUAUGCAACAUUUGAGGAUUGUGUUCCAGACUUAGAGAGAUCAUAUAUCUUUUGCCAAAUUCUCCAAGUGUAAGUUUUGGCUUGAGUCGGUGACAUUUCUUAGGCAUGUAGUGCUAAGGAUGGGAUUAUAGUAGACCCAAAGAAGAUCAAGACUAUUCGUGAUUGGGCUAGGCCUACAUCUCCUUCUGAGGUUCAUAGCUUCAUUGGUUUAGCCAUUUACUAUAGACAGCUCAUUGGAAGAUUUGCUACUAUUGCCAUGCCGAUGACCAGAUUGACUCGGAAAGAGGUUCCCUUCUGAUGGUCCGAGGAGUAUGAGUCAAAAUUUGGAAAGCUCAAGGGAUUUCUUACUUCAUACUUUAUCUUGGCUCUUCUUGUUAAAGUUGAGGAAUUCACCGUGUAUUGUGAUGUUUCUGGUGUUGGUUUGGGUUAUAUAUUGAUGUAGCAGGAUAGAGUUAUUGCUUAUGUGUUGAGACAGUUAAAGGUGUACAACGUAAUAACCCCACUCAUUAUUUAGAGUUGGUGGUGGUGGUUUUUACGUUUAAGAUUUGGAGAUAUUAUCUUUAUGGCAUGCAUUGUGAGAUCUUUAUGAAUUAUCGUAGUCUUUAGCAUCUUAUGACCCAGAGAAAGCUUAAUUCUAGGUAGCGUAAGUUUCUAAUUACAUUGUUUUAUUUUAUUUUAAGAUGGUAAAAAGAAACUAGGAGUAAAGUAGAGUACAAUAAUUUAGCUGUACUAGAACAAGGUUAACCCUUAGAGUUGCAAUAACUAUAGAGCAUCAAGUUGUUAAGUCACACUUUUAAUGUUUAGGAGAGAGUGGUGGAGCUGAGGGUAAGGAUGAACAUGUCUAUUUCCGAAAACUAAUUCGAAUUCAUGUCGGGGAUAUUAACUACAGUAGUUAUCCAUCUUAUUAGGAGACUAGUUGAGAAGUACAUAGAGAAAGAAAGACCUAUACAUUAUGUUGGUGACUUAGAGAAAACAUAUGAUAAAGUCCCGAAGGAGAUAUUUUGGAGAUGUUUGGAGGUUAAAUGUGUCCAUAUGGCAUACAAUAGGGAGAUCAAAGACAUGUAUGAAGGGGUCAAGACUCGAAUAAGAAUAGUGGAAAGACUAAAAACACUUUCUACUUGUGAUGGUUCUACACUAAAGAUCAGUUCUUAGCAUAUUUCUAUUUAACUAGGUCAUAGAUGAAUUGACAUAGAUAGUUCAAGGUGAAUCGCCAUGGUAUAUAUUAUUUGUGGACGACUUAAUGCUGACUGACGAGAUUUGUGGUAAAGUUAACACUAAAUUAGAAGGUUGGAGACAAACCUUAAAGUCUAAAAGGUUUAGGUUGAGUAGGACCAGGACAAAAUAUUUAAAAUGCAAGUUCAGUGACAUAAUGUUGAUUCUGAUAUAGAAGUAAGACUUGGUUCACAUGUCAUUUAGAAGAGAGGAAGCUUCAAGUAUCUUGGACAUAUUAUCCAAGGAAAUAGAGAAAUUGAUAAUGAUGUCACCCAUCAUAUUGGUGCAUGGUAGAUGAAACGAGUCUUGUAUUCGGCGUAUUAUGUGAUAAGAAGGUGCCACCAAAACUUGGACAAGUUUUAUAGGGUAGUGGUUAUAUUAUAUGAGAUAAAGUGUUAGCCAGUCAAGAACUCUUAUGCUUAAAAUAUGAAAGUCGGAGAGAUGAAGAUAUUGCGGUGGAUUUGUGAGCAUACUAGAAGAUAUAAGAUUAAAAAUAAAGAUAUUUGGAACAUAGUAGGACUGGUCUCAGUAAAAGACAAGAUAUGAAAAGCAAGACUGAGUGGUUCGAAAAUGUGAAGGAGAGAUGAGAUGUGCAAAUACCCCAGUCUAGAUGUAUGAACGAUUAAUUAUAUAUGAUUUCAAUAGAGAAAAAGAUGGACCAAAGAAGCAUUGGGGACAUCCAACAAGUGAUUCGGGAUAUAACAUUGCUUCAACUUACUGAGGACAUAAAUUUAGAUAAAGGGUUGUGGAAGGAACAAAUUAGGCUAGCAGACUAGUAGGUAGCAAUAAGUUGUCUUGUUACUCAUUCUUACAAGUAGCUGUAGUAACGCUUCUAUAGUUGCUUUUCCUCGAAUUUCUACUACUGUCAUUUCUACUUUGACUAUUAUUUAUUUAUCGUAGUUAUCAUCCUGUUACUCUCUUUUGUUUUAUUACUAUAUGAUAUUUCUUGUGCUUAUGCAACUUCUUUUUUUUAAACCACUUUGGACUAUUUUUGCUUGAGUCGAAGAUUUAUCUAAAACAAUCUCACUAUCUAUGAGACAAAGGUAAGUCAGUGUAUACUCGUACAUACUCUAUUCUCUUCAUACCCACUAUGUGGGAUUAUAUUGAAUAUGUUGUCGUAUUAUAAAUUUUACUUAGUCAUUGGUAGCUUUUGCUUUUUCUUAAAAAGAACGUUCAAUCAAUUAGUUUAUCAAUAUGCUAGAUAUAUAUAUAUACAUAUAUAUAUAGAGGGAGAGAUAGAUAACCUUAUAUUCUAGUCUAGUCAUUAUUUCAAUUUAUUUUGUCCCCAUACUUUGCUAAUUUUAUUAUUGGUCCAUUCACACAACAAACAGGAAGGGUGUAUUCGUAUGGAGAAAAAUAUUUUCUCAUGACUAAUAUUUUUGUAUUUUCUCAUGUUGCUUUGACUUAAAGUUUUGAAAAAUAUUUUCUCUUGAAAAAUAAGUUCAUUUGAACCAAGAAAAAUGACUUCUUUAAUGAAAGUAGGAAAAAUAAGUUGUAAUAUCUCAUACCACUCAAUUUUUAUCCCUCCCAUCCCUUGGCCCUCACUCCCCCCACCCCUACAUUAGAAGAAAAAAUUUCUUACUAUACCUUCACCCUUCCCCACACCCCCCNNNNNNNNNNNNNNNNNNNUUACUUGCAUUUUUUUUUUUAUUUUGUGGUAGAUAUUAAUAUCUCAUAAAAGGAAAGAGGCAAGAGAAGUAGGCAGCUCUCCGUCAACAUGUCUGCUUUUUUUGUCUGCUUCAUCAGUUGCUUGCUCCGUAAUUUUAUUAUAUCAUUUCUAAUUAAUUAUUAUAAGUCAUUUAUAUAUUAAAAAUUUUAGUAAUAUUUAAUAAAAAUAAAAUAAACAUUUAUGACAUAUCUGCUUCAGCUAUUUUAAUUGUAACUUUAUUAAAUAUCACCCCUUAUUAAUUAUUAUAAAUUAUUUAAGUAUUAAAAAAUUAAUAAUAGUUGAUAAAAAAGGUAAAAUAGAUAUAAAUGAUAAGUUAACUCUUCAUGUUUUAAAUUAACUUGACUUUUUAUAUGAGGUCCACUUAAAAAAAAAAAUUCUAAGUAUUUUUUAUAGUAAUUUUGAUAUAUUAGUUCUAAUUAGUUAUUGUGAGUUAUUAAGAUAUGUCUGUUUCGUUGCUUCAAUCGUGACUUUACUAUAUCACUCAUAAUUAAUUAUUAUGUCAUCUAAGCACUAUGUUUCUUAAUUUGAAAUAAAAGAAAAAAUAAUUAUAAAUCACAAUAAUUUAAAACUUAAAUUAUUUAAAAAGUGUAAUUGACUAUUAAUGCCACAAAAAUUUGAACAAAGAGAACAAUAUAUGUUAUUUGAAAAUUACAUAAAAAGUACUAUAAACUACAAUAGUUAACAGUUUAAAAUAUCUAAAAAAAAAUUUGUUAUAUAUUUUUUAAAAAUGUGUGUAAUAUUAUAAAUUAUAAUAAUUAAAAUAAAUUAAAAAAAUAUUUGUUGGGUAACUAGUAAUAUACAAAAGCGUAAAAAAAACAUAAUGUUUGUUUAAUUUCCUUUUUAUUUGUUUGUUUUCCCCUAUCUUGUCCUUGGCGUUUGUUUAACCCAUAUAACCUCGCGUCUUUUCUGUAUCCUCUUCGUCACUCUGUGUUUCUGGGGUUUGCUGCUGUUGAGAUUUAUAUUUAUACAAAACAUAAAGGGCUUCGAACAUGGUUAACCCCAACUUCAAUCUAUCAAAAUCAAUUGAUCGUUUUGAAUCAAAUCGGGAAAUAAAACAAUGUCUUUGUAUAAAGAAUUCUCUACUAGAUUUUCUGAUUGAAUUGUUUUCUCUUUCUAAGAAUUAUGGGUUUCUGUAGAUUAUGAAAUUAAUGCAAAAUUCUUCGCAUUCUUGAUUCGUUAGGUAUUGUACUGCACCUUAAGCAGGAGGGAUUCAACGUCUACUCGAUAUAUAAAAUAUAAUUUUGACAAGGCCCCUCAGCCUAUCAGUACCUAGCUCCGAUAGGAGUGGGGAUGGGGGUGGGGUAGGGUGAUGGAACCCUUUCCCAUUUAGCAUUACAUUCAGUUGCUGCUGUGGUGCGUGCCUAGGAGAGUACGUAGCAAUGAAUUCUAUCUGUAGGGUUUUUGAAUUUAUGGAAUCUUAUAUAUUUACUCGUGUUAUCAACUACCUUUAAUGGAUAAGGAAGAAGGUUUAUGUGGGUUGAUAGCCAGAGUAGAAAUAGGCAUAAUUCCUGAAUUCUCUAACUCUACACAUUGAAUUCAUCCUCCCAUGCACUCCUGAGAAUACACUCUGUCAACCUAUCUUAUCUCAUCCUCUAUCGGGGUGGCACUGGCAAUGUGAACGUUAUUUCAAAUAAUCACAUGGUAGAGCUCAAUGUGCUUCCUAUUUGUGUAUAGAAAAUCAUAUGGCAUUUUUGCUUGUUUUAGGGAGUUUGAAAGAAUGGCUUUGUCCAUAUUUUUAGUAUAACAUAAGUUGACAAUUAUUGAUGUGAAUUGAAUUUGUCAGGUACGGUUACAGCCAGAACCAUUUCUCAAUGAAGCGAACUACUGGGCAUGGUUCCGUUUGGGUUACUCUCAAACACUGUGAGUUUGCCCCUUCAUUGGUUUUUCUGUAUUUUGUGCUCUGCAUUCUCUUCAUGAUUGAUUCACAGUAGAGCUGUAUAUUGAAACACUGAUUGAGCAAUCUUGUCCUUUGUAUCUGCAGCUUCUGAUAAAUCUAAAGCCCAACGGAAUAAGAUGAAGACAGCUGGGAAAAAUAUUGAAUUUAAGUGCCUCAUCCGAGCAACUGGUGGUAAAAAGAAUAUUUCCAUAAUGGUAAUCACAGUAGCAAGUUCCUUUCUUAUUCUUUUCCAUUGCUCAGUCUUGUUGGUUGGAUUGUGGUUAUGCCUUCUUUGCAAGUCUUGCCAUUUUCCCCUUUCCUUUUGCUUUGUUGGGUUCUAUGUUCUCUGGUAGGAACAUUUAAGAGUGUUAGUUUGUUGUAUGAAUUAACUCUUGGCAACAACAAACCCAACAACAACAACAAACCCAGUGUAUUCCCACUUUGUGGGGUCUGGGGGGGGUAAGAUGUACGCAGUCCAUACCUCUACCUCUGAUGAAGUAGAAAGGCUGUUUCCGAAAGACCCCCGGCUCAAGUUACGAGAUAUCAAACAAACACAUAGUACAGCACAGAAGCAGAUGACAUAACAUAGAUACUGCAGCCAUAAGGAAUAUAAAACAGAGUAAAGCAGGACUGCAGGAAUAUAAAGCAGAGGAAAGCACACAGAUUCGUAACAAACAUAGAACACGGAACACGGAACAGAACAUUGAAAUACGGAAUCAUACCAGGGAUACACCCCCACCAAUUACCUCCCUACAUUAGCGACCCGAACAGGCCCUAAUCCUCUGCCGUAAUUCGCGUCUUCCAGACCUUCCUAUCUAGGGUCAUGUCCUCGGUAAGCUGUAACUGUUCCAUGUCCCGCCUAAUCACC
rnacentral:lncRNA from 1 species